UUUUUUUUUGUAAAUUUCACCUUGCGUGAUCGUCUGCCUAGUCGAGCUACGCUUCUGCCGCAGGUUCUUCAGCAGUACAAAGCUGAAACCACCCAGCCGAAAUGGAGACCUUGCUGUCACUUUGCUUCACCACAACAUAAGCACGUACGGCUUGUUCCUUAAAAGUUGGAGACCAUGACCGAAUUCUCUUUUUUGCUGGAAAGAUCACGGUUGAUUAAUGCGGCGAUCUAGCCGAGUACUUCAAGGUUCACACGGAUCGGCCUGAAUUAAGCUCAGGCCACCAAUUUGGCUUGUCUUUACUAAUUAUCCUCCGAUGAUUUUUUUUCUUCAACAGUUAGUAGGUAGUAGGCUGUUUUCAUCAAGGAGCAGUGGUCAAUAAUCAAAUAUGAUCACUCUCAUAUUUGCCUUGAACAAUUGUUCGAUUUGGCACAUCAAAGGGAUCUUGUUACGAGCUGAGCUCAGAGAGGUCGUAAGCAAGCACAAUAGCAGAAACAUGCACAUUCAUAUACAACAUAGUGGCAAAACUUUUCAUCAUCGUCAUGUUACAAUCAGGAGCAGCCGCCGGCCGGCCGGCGAGGUCUCAAGCCAAGCCCGGUUGCUGGAGGCAGGAACAGAGGACCUAUACAUGCCUAAUUGGGCCCCCAGCAGCUGAGGUACAUGACGGUCCUCAUGCCCUCCUCCGCGUUGUCCGCCCGCCUCCUUUCCGCCGCCGGGGCCAGCUUCUUGGCCUGCGCGAAGCUGGGGACGUUGGCCUUGGCGGCCUGGUGGACGGAGCGCAGCGCGUAGUUCCAGCGGCAGAGGCCCGCCUGGUCCUUGAGCGUCUCCACGGCGCCCACGCUCAUCGCCACCAUCCAAGACGCCUUCGCCGCCGCCGCCAUGUCCUUCUCCUCUUUCUCGGGGUCUCGCAGGUCUUGGUGGGCUAGAGAGCGAGCUCUGCUGGUGAUCGUUGCAGUGCUGUGACUGUGAUACUGAGGUUGUGAUUGAUGCUUGUGUUGUGGUGGAGGCGGGGGUGGGUUGAUAUAUAGCGGAGGGACGCCGGCGGAAACAGGCGGCCGCGGACGAUGGUUUCCCCGGAUACCGGGGGCCCCGCACCGGCCCAGCUGCGCACGUACGGAGCACCUCGUCUUGUUUAUUCGGGGGCAGAAACGGACGCCGCGUCACUGUCCCACUGGCCACUGGCACAAUGCAUCUUUGUAUCUAGACUACUGUUUGAGCUAGAGAUGUGUGCUGGCUACAAAUUUACAUUUCAACUUGAAGCAAACUGCGUGUGGUGGCCGGCCGGUGUAUUGUCCUGCUUUCAGCGAACAGGAUGAGGGAUCUGCCAGAAUUUACAAAUCUUUCAUGCGAGGUUUCUAAAACUCACUCGAGGCGUCCAGGAAUCUUCUUCUGGCCAUCGUGGAGAGCCGCACUGAUUAAACUAAUCCGUUUUUACGCGCUGAAUCAAUCACAUGGGUUAGCUGCAGAUUUUACCGCGUGAUCUUGGACCAGCAGCGACUGACGUCCUGAUCGGUUCUCUGGGCAUUAAAAAUAAGUCUCAACGUAGGGAUAAAAAUAAGUUCCACACUAUUUGAUUAUAUGACUUAAAUCAUUAAAUAUGAUGGUGCAAAAUCAGUUAUACCCAUGAUUUCCUACCUCUGCUCAUUCCCGACGACCAAACGGGACACCAAGUGGGAGAACAUGAUCCACGACCUCGGCGUCGACGACGAUACCCACACCAUCAAGAGGGUCGUCGCCAUUAAUAUCGCCGACGCUGGAUUCCGCCACGGAGAAGCCGCAUGAAGAGGUCGGCGGGCACCGGCUGCUGAGAAAGCUGGACUUCUAGCUCUACUUCUUCAGCUACAUGUUCAGCGGCACCCUAGGUCUGGUGUUCCAGAACAAUCUGAAACAGAUCACCGAGUCGCGACGGCUCGCGAAGACUCCCACUCUGGUCUCGCUGUCGUCUUCGUUUGGAUUCUUUGGCCGCCUGCUUCCCUCCUUCUUAGGCUACUACUUCGUGGUGGCGGGCUGAGGAUGCCGAGCGCCGACGGCGGCGGGGCAAGAAGCUGAGGAAGGAGGGGGAAGGGGAGCAGCCAUGACAAGUACGACAGCGAUUGAGGGCGGCCUGGGAUUGGGGAGGGGUGGCUCAUGAGAGGUACCCUAUGGCAAAAGCUCCUAUAAAGUGAGUCUCGGUGCACAGUUUUAUGGCAUAGUUAUCAAGACUAGAAACUAGGUAACAGUUUUAUGGCAUAGUAAUUAAGAUUGGAAACUACGUAACUGUACCAGAUAAGUUUUAUGGUGACGAAACUCCUCUCACACCCCAUAAAACUUUCUCCUUCUCUCUCCUCACUAUGUCAACAAAAUUGAUGAUGUGGUAUAAAAUUUAAUGCUACGAAACUCUCCCUGAAACCCCGUUGAAACUGGCCUGAUCAAUAUUUUUGUGACUUAUGGGCUUAUAGACCAUAAGUUUCAAUAAAUCAUCAUAUUUGGUAUUUUAAAAAUUUAUUGGAACUUAAUCUAAAUUUCAAUCCAUAAACCAAAUCAAACCAAACAGGAUCUGACCGUCAGAGCGCGACAUUGUGGGAUAACCGGGCGCCAUGGGACAUGGUUUCCAACCAGGAUACCACGGGCUGUAUAUCCACUGUCCAUUGGAGCGUUUGCUCAUGCAAUUUUUGUAACCAAAAAAACAUGCUGCUACUUGAACACACACUGUGCUGUGGCCUGUAUCUCAGAGUCAUCAAGCAAGGCCUGUUUAGUUCGUUGCGUGUAAACGCAAAAAAAAGUUUUUACAAAAGAAUCUUGUCAAUUUAAAGUACUAAAUGAAGUCUAUUUAUAAAUUUUUUUUGCACAGAUGGGUUGUAAAUCGCGAGAUGAAUCUAAUGAUGCUAAUUAAUCCAUGAUUAAGUGAAGCGUCCCCCCAUCCGGGAAGACUUAAAAGUGUUGCUUUAUCAGUCCCAGGAGGCUGAUAACAGUUUUAUUACAUCAGAUGGUACAUCACCGUACAACUCUACGCCGUAAUGGGCAGUGAAGCGCCACUAUCGCGAGGAUUACAACUAAAACCCACACUACUACACUAGCUACGAAAAGAGGAUCAUCAGAGUCUUGCGCCAUGCGGAACUCCAACGGUGGCCUUAUCCACAGGCAAGACUGGGUGCAGGACGAAACCCUACUCAAUGUCUUCGGGGACGUAGUCGGGGUCUUCCACUGUAAAAGUGAGAAUGGGGUGAGUACAAACGUACUCAGCAAGUCCAAUCACACCCACGGAGGGGGAUAUAACAGAAUUUAAUGCACAGGAUAAUCUAAGGAUAAGGUUAUGGUUCAUUUGCAGAAAACUCGAUUAUAUGCAGGGGUUUGUUUUAAAAGCAUUUUCAAAACAAGUUUUUCAGUACCAAGGAGCACACGGUGUUGAUCCUCACGGAUUCAAGUUUUAAACUACUACCGGACUCCCCGUCCGCCGUAGCAUACGGCACAACUGCCGGACACUUUCCAAACAACUCACGCCAGCCCAAUCAUUCCCAGAGAAAAACACUAGUUAUGUGACCACACCAUAACUUGCCCAAUACCGUGGGCACGGCUAUUCGAAUAGAUUUUAACUCUGCAGAGGUGUGCAACUUUACCCACAGGUGGGGUACCACAACACGAUCACCUUAGUGUCGGUGCAGAUCCCAACAAAGCCAUUACCCACCUUAGUUAGACCUGACUAGCCACCACGGGAUCCAUCAAGAGGUCAUUCGACCUAUCUCCGAGGUUUAACCGGGGCAUAAGUCACACAGAGCUUAUCCCUUCUCCUUGAUCACCCGUUGCUCUCAGCUCUCCUGAUGGCUAUCAGUCUAACUAGUGGGAUUUAUGCUAAGCCGUUGCCCAUACAACGGUCAAGUGGUUUGCACGACAGGAAGGUAGGUGAGAUGACACAUCAACUCGGUCCUUAGGGUUGACAGGAUGGAUAUCUCCCUUCCUUGCCCUACCACACAGGUACGAGCACACCAACGGCAAUUCACACAGAAAUGCCAUCCAUCCCGUCCGACUCGUCUUUCAAAACCACAUUUUACCCUUUCCCACACACACGCAUUUUCUUUAUAAAAUUAGAUGUUCAAGGUAUGGUUAUCACAACAAGGGUGGCUAUCCUACCAUGUUUACGGCAUGCAAAACCAUGCAAACCUUAUAAAACAGGCCACUGGGUUGUGUUUAUAAAAACUAGGACAGAAACAUGCAUCAAAGGGCGGGAUUGAACUUGCCAUCGUCAAGUCCUUGCGGGAGGUCCCGAUCGAAGCACUGUCCCUCGGGUUCGGGGUCGCAGAACUGGUCCUCGGUUGCUUGGUCGCAGUCGGGAACUUCUCCGUUCACUCCGUGCCCUACGACGCAAACAAACAGGCAUGCAAUCAAGCGAGAGAACUAAAAGCUUUUAUCGUUGAGCUUGAAUCGGAAAUAAUUUAGUUACGGAGGUAGGGGUAAUGUUUUUGGGUGGUUUCUUAAUGGCAUGGUUAGAACUAUACUAGAAAGGGCGUGGUAAAGUUUUAGGUCGAUCGGAGGUUGUUUGGCGCAUAAAAUGACGAGGUAAAGGGGUUUCAGGGGCUAAACAGGGGUCCCGGGGGCUCGUUUGCAAUUACCCGGAGGGGGUAAGGACCUUUCCACGAAUCCUAAAAAUACUCAGGACAUGCUAAAGGGUGUCGUGCGUAUCUAGGUUUGUGUAAUGGAGGGUUCAAUUUGAAAUAACAAAAAGGGCGAGGUUUCUUUUGCAAAGAGGGAGUGGAUAGGGGUGCUCCUAGAGAGGGGGGGGGGGAGGUUUGGGAAAUACAGGGAAGGGGAGGGGGCUCUGGGCAAAAAGGCCCUUCUCCUUCCUCUCCCCCGUUCAGAGCAGAGGAGGGGGAUGGGGGCGCCGGCGCCCGGCCGAUUCCGGCCAGCCGGGGCCCGGGGCGGCUCGGGGAUUGGGGGAAAAGGAAGAGGGGAAGGAGGGGAUCCCAUCCCCGUCCUUACCUUGGGCCGAGGUGGAGCGGGGAGGCGCGCCCACGGGAGCAGGCGGGCGGCGGUGGUGCCACGGGCGGCGGCGGCGCUGCGAGCUAGGAGAGGAGGCGCGCGGUGGAGAGGGCGGUGGUGGUGGUCGGGGCUGCGCGGGGGGGUUCUAUUUAUAGGCCGGGGGAAGGGCGGUGGAGGGGGUCUCGGCCGGCGGCUCCGCGGGCGCCAUUAAUGGCGUUUUGGCCGCUCGCGGCAGCCGUGGCGCGGUGGCGAGGGCGCUGGGCACCGCACGUGGGGGGGGGGUUAGGUGCUGUGCGGCCACAGUGGCGAGCACGCGUGCGGGGUGCGGCAGGGGAGGCAGCGGCGGGCAGUGCGGCUGGCGACGGGCGGCGCGGCCGUGGCGCGGGGGUGGGCACGCGCGUGCGCGCGUGACGCGGCGCGGCGCACGGCCACGCGGGGCACGCGGGGCACGCGGGGGCGAGCGCGUGCGCGCGGCACGGCCGGGGCAGCGCAGGCGCACGGCCUGGGCGGCGCUCGGGCACACGGCAGGGGAAGGAAAGAGAGAAGGGAGGAAGGGGGAAGAAGGAAAGAAAAAGGAAAGAAAAGGAAAGGAGGGAAAGGAAAGGAAAGGAAAGAAGGAAGGAGAAAGAGGGAUUGGGGGAAAAAGAAAAGAAGAAAAGAGAUGGGGGAGAGGAAAAAGGGAAAAGGAGAGGGAGAGAGAGGGGGGGGGGCGCGUCGGCGCCGAUCGCGGCGGCGACCGCGGCCGGUCGGCCACGCGCACGCGGCAUUCGCGCGCUGCGCGGGGAGAAAGGAAUCGCGCCGGCACUAAUCGCGGCAGGUGGCCACGCGUGGGCGGCAGGCCACCGAGCGGCGCGGGAUGGGACGGCGAAGAGGGUACGGCCAUCGGAAAAGGGGCUGGGUCAACAGCUGGAGCCGAGCGUCUGGUCGGUGAAGUGUCCGGGAGGCGAUUAGGGUGCCAACGCUUUGAACAAAACAUCUUAGCGCGUAAUUUAAUUUGGUAAAUUUUCAGGGCGUCACAUUAAGCAAUAAUUAGCGGAUGGUUACUGUAGCAUCACCGUUGCAAAAUAUGGAUUAAGUAGGUUCAUUAGAUUCGUCUCGCGAUUUACAGCCCAUCCAUGCAAAAGAUUUUGUAAAUAGACUUCAUUUAGUAUUUCAAAUUAGUAAGAUUCCUUCGAAAAUUUUGCGUUUACGGUUUUUUUGCGUUUACGGCCUGGGAACUAACAGAGCCCAAACUUCAUGGAAACAAUCAGACAUGAAACCGGCCUCUCGUCAUCAUCACGCUUUCCCUGUCAUGACGGUCCUGUGGGAUCGUUCUAUGCUUCUUGAGCAGGUUGAUUACUGCAUACUUACUAGAAACUGCAAACCAGAAUGGAGUGGAGGCCGUCCUGUUACUUUGCUUCGCCGCAAAAUAAGUACGGGCUUCCCCUAAAAACUCGGAGAUCAUGUCUGAAGUAUACAUUUUAACAUGAGAUCAUGGUUAACUAGCAUGGAUCAUUACCUUGUAGACUAGUUAACGAGCACUCUCUCCGUCCCAAAUUACAAUUCAUUUUGAAUUACUUAGAUCUAUAAUUUUUCGUUUUGGAUUAUUUAGGUUUUUCGUUUUGGAUUAUUUAGUUGUAGUUUUUGUAUAUAUUUAGAUAUAAAGUGAUGCAUAGCAAAAUAUAUGAAUCUAAGAAGUUAAAAUGAAUUGUAGUUUGAGAUGGAGGAAGCCAAAACAGAUUAUAAUUUAGGACGGAGAGAAUUGUAAUUCGAAAUGGAGAAUUGUAGUUUGGGAUGAAGGGAGCCAAAAGGAUGAAUUGUAAUUUGGGAUUGCAUGGCCGAUAGGAUGGGAGGAGUGCAUGGCCGAUACAGACUGGCCUGAAAUUAAGCUCAGGACACCACUUGGUUUGUCCUUGUUACCAUUACCAUUUUUCUUCGAGAGGUCAUCAAAGAGCAGAGUUCAGAACCUGAGUUUAUCGUCUUACAUUUGCCCUGAGCCCAUGAGCGAUUGUUCUACAUUCGCACGCCUAAGCGUCGAACCACACGAAAGUCUUUGUUGUGAGCGCAACGAGAUCGCACAGUAGCAGAAGCAUUCAUAUACUCGAAUGAAGUAGCACAACUUUUCAUCAUCAUCAUCGUGUAUCUACAAUCAGGAGGAGCAACCGGCCAGGAUUGAAGACAAGCUCGGCUGCUCAAAGCUGAAACAGAGAGAGAACCUAAUCACGCCUAAUUAGGACCCCAGCAGCUGAGGUACAUGACGGUCCUCAUGCCCUCCUCGGCCUUGUCCGCCCGCCUCCUCUCCGCCGCCGGGGCCAGCUUCUUGGCCUGCGCGAAGCUGGGAGCGUUGGCCUUGGCGGCCCGGUGGAUGGAGCGCAGCGCGUAGUUCCAGCGGCAGAGGCCGGCCUGGUCCUUGAGCGCCUCCACGGCGCCCACGCUCAUGGCCACUAUCCACGACGCCUUCGCCGCACCCGCCAUGUCCUUCUUCCUCGGAGCUUAGCUUAGCUUAGGACUUGCCUGCCUCGAGAGAUCGCUCGCUGGUCGCUGGAGUGAGGUUGUGUGAAUUGUGAUGCUGUUAUGCUGAGACUUGAGAUUUGAGAGAUGAUCGGGUGGGGUGCGUGGGUUAAUAUAGCUGGGGGAGCGCCGGCGAAACAGGCGGCGGCGGGCGCUGGUUUCCCAGCAUACCGGGGGCUCUAGGUUUGUCCGUUUGCGCGCCCACCAUACCGCUUUCGUCGGCGCCGGCCCAGUGGCUCCACUCGUCUCUCGUAUUGGGGUGGCGGCGGGCCCACGCCCCAUAAUAACCCACCAGAUUUUUUUUUGAGAGGAAUAACCCACCAGAUAAGGAAGCUUGCCGCGGAGGUGCAGAGAAAUGAAACGUCCGGAUCGUUGUUUGAUGGGCUGCUGUCAAGGCCCACGGUGCUGCUCUAUGCACAUACUGGGCCUUAAGCAUGACAGCCCAUUUAAGGCCCGUCGUCUACCUCGUGUGUACGUGCCAGAGGCAACGUUAUCCGCAUCACCCUUUCUUCUCCCUCCGCAAGCGCGCAACCAUUUGUCGUCCCGUCGUCCGCUCCAUCCGAGGCAGGAAACAGCAGCAACUCACCGCCGCAGCAGAAGGGGGGGUGCUCGCUCAACACCGAUCGGCUUGCAGCUCCCAAGCGAUAUGCAGAACAUGAUCAGCGCCUGCAAGCCGCAUCAGUCGCAACCGCCAGCGGCGCUCCUGCCGCCGCCGAGGCCGGUGCUGCCCGGACGAGCAGCGUUCCCCCGCCUUCCAGGUCGAGAUUCGAGACCGGGUGACGAAUUUGCAUGCGUCUGAUCCGUAGCUUGUUCCAUGGUCUGUUCCUCCUGUAACCAACCACUAACCUGACUGCAUGUCAUGUGCGAUUGCAGCAAGGGAUACAACCUCGCGGCUGGUGGUCAGGAGGAGAUGCCAGGAGGAGGACAAGCAGCAGCAGCAGCAGCAGCAGCAGGAGCAAGAAGCGGCGGAGGGAAGCGGCGCCGACGAGCAGGAGAGGAGGACCUUCCUGAGCCUGGAGGAGGCCGGGCUGGUGGAGAUGUCCGGCCUCAGCACGCACGAGCGCUUCCUCUGCCGCCUCACCGUAAGUCCAGCCGAGACGAGGCAUCGAUGGGUGAUCCAAUGGCGGCCACUUGACUUGUGUGCGUGUGCCGCAGAUAUCGUCUCUGAAUCUGCUGAGGGUGAUCUCGGAGCAGGAGGGCGUCCCGAUAGAGGAGCUCAACGCCGGCCGCGUCUGCGACUGGUUCAUCAAGGACAAACUCAAGAGGGAGCAGAACAUCGGCACCGCCGUCCUGCAGUGGGACGACCCUGGCCUCUAGCUUCAUCCUAGGGCUACGCUGUUUAUCUUGCUGCACGGGAGGAUGCAAUGCACGGGCUAUGGUGGAAUAGAGAUUUUUGUUUCAGCGCCCUUUGCUGGAUGCCAUGAUCAAUGAACUAGAUGAGCUUGAUGACAUGUUCACUUUGUAUUCAGUCUUGAUCAUACCUGUAUUCUGUUGUUGCAUCACAAUACCUGGAGGGUUCCCUUCAGGGUCAACUUCCUUGAUAUGUAUGGUUCAGGCCCUUUUCGGGUGAGCAACCAAAGCUACAAGUUCAGUAUUUUUACGAGCCGUGAAGAUCACUCACAAUUGGAUCAAAUCUAGUUACGAAAAAAAAUAAUUUCAUGCCUUCUCGUCAGAACUUUCGAUUUGGUUUCAUGUUUGCAAAAUUUCUGUAGCGUCGGACAAUUUCCCGGGGAGCAAAAUACAGGCAAACUGACACGGACGCAGUCAUGGCCUCAUGGGGCGAGGCAAACAUCAGAAACGCCUGCCCCGCUCAUUUCGUCGAACACCUGCCGCGCGUCUCCUCUUUGCCGCCGACGCACUCCUCCGAUGCGCCGCUUCUGCCACGUCCCUCGCGGCCGGCGGGCGUCCACCGCGCCCCACGACCAUCAGCCACUCCCGCCGCCCGAGUGGAUCGAGCCGUACCCGGACCUCGCGGACCCGAGCCCGUACGCCUCCGCCUCGUCCGCGCCGCCCACCCCGUCGCCGUGGCUGCCCCGCGUGAUCUCCCUCGUCCUCCGCUCCCCGCCCGCCACCCUCGCCGCCGACCUCCGCGCCUUCUGCAAGACCUUCCUCAUCCGCCUCUCCCCGGCCUUCGUCGCCGCCGCGCUCCGGUCCCCGCAGCUCAACUCCUGCCCGCUGCCGUCGCUCCACUUCUUCCGGUCCCUGCCCAACGGCGCCGACCUGCUCGCCCACCCGCAGAGCCUCCUCAGCUGCUACGUGUCCCUCCUCCACUCCUUUGCCCGCUCCAGGGACGCCGCCCCAGAUGCUGUCGGUCAGGUGCGGCUGCUCGUCGCCGAGCUGCGAGCGCACGGGGACGCCGUCCUGCAGCACCUCACUCCGGCGUCGUCGGCAUCGCUGAUCCGCAGUCUGGCCGCACUCGGCCUAUCCGAGGAGCUACUGUGGGCGUGGCAGGCCAUGCGCCUCGCCGGCGUCGAGCCGUCCAGGCUCACCUACAACUGCCUCCUGGAUGGUCUGGUUAACGCCGGCCUCCUAGACACUGCCAUCAACGUGUUCGACGCAAUGUCCACGGAGGAUCGGGUGCGUCCUGACGUGGUUUCCUACAACAUUCUCAUCAAGGGGUACUGCCGCGCGGGGAGGACACAAGAUGCAAUGACACGUUUUGCAGAUAUGCGGGAACAUGCAGAGCUCGCGCCGGACAAGGUCACAUACCUUACUCUCAUGCAGCGGCAUUACAGUGAAGGCACGUUUCCACAAUGCAUAGCACGGUUCCAAGAGAUGGAAGAGAGGGGAAUGGGGAAGGAGAUACCUCAGCAUGCUUAUGUGCUGGUGAUUGGAGCGCUCUGCAAGGACGGGAAACCAUUCGAGGGGAUGGCAGUGUUUGAGAGGAUGCUGAAGCGAGGGUGUCCUGCCAAUGCAGCCAUGUACACUGCACUCAUUGACUCGAUGGGUAAGUUUGGGAGGGAGAAAGAGGCAAUGGCACUCUUUGAGAGGAUGAAAGCCAGUGGAAUUGAGCUUGAUGCGGUAACAUAUGGUGUGGUUGUUAAUUGCUUGUGCCGAUUUGGCAAUAUGGAUGAGGCACUUGCAUGCUUCAGGAGUUGUGUAGAGAAGGGUGUUGCAGUGAAUGCCAUUUUCUAUACAAGCCUAAUUGAUGGCUUUGGAAAAGCUGGGAUAGUUGACCAGGCACAGGAGCUCUUCAUGGAGAUGGUGUCUAAAGGUUUUGUGCCUGACUCAUAUUGUUACAACGUUCUGAUUGAUGCAUUAGUCAAAGCAGGAAGAACAGAUGAUGCUUGUGCUUUAUACAAGAGAAUGGAAGACGAUGGUUGUGAUCAAACAGUCUACACAUAUACCAUACUCAUUGACGGUUUGUUCAAGGAACACAAGAAUGAGGAGGCCCUGAAGUUCUGGGACAGCAUGAUUGACAAAGGAAUCACCCCCACUGCUGCAGCUUUCAGGGUCCUAGCCAAUGGACUCUGCCUUUCUGGCAAAUUCAGCCGGGCAUGCAGGAUACUGGAUGAACUGGCUCCAAUGGGGGUGAUCCCUGAGACAGCCCAUGAGGAUAUGAUCAAUGUCCUGUGUAAGACUGGCAGGUUCAAGCAGGCCUGCAAAUUGGCUGAUGGAAUUGUGCAGAAGGGCCGUGAGAUACCUGGGAGGGUUCGAACAAUGAUGAUCAAUGCACUAAGGAAAGCUGGAAACACCGACCUGGCAGUUAAGCUGGUGCAUAGUAAGAUCGGCAUUGGGUAUGAAAGAUCUGGCAGCAUAAAAAAAAGAGUGAAAUUUCAGACCCUGUUUGAGUGAGUUGCCAGUGGUGUUUUCCUCAAAAGUGAGGAGAGCCCUGAGUUACACCGAGGUUAACAUCUCGUGCUCCAGGGCCCAGGCUAUCUUCCUGAAGAAAGCAUCCCCUCCACACAGGAUUUUCUGUUGAAUCGUUUGGUAGCUGCGAGGGCUAAAGAAAGCUUCACCAGCUUUAAAUCGAUAAAUUAUUUUGCUUUUCAGUUUUGUAAGAUACCUUUCUCUGAUUGCUUGAAGAACCAAACUGAGUUCAGUUUCUUCGAUGGCACACCUGUACACUACACCGAUACAGGUUCUAGGACCAGAAUCUACUUGGGGCAAUUACUUCGUUUACAGCCAAAAGGAAAGGUAACUCACUCGAUGAAUCAGAUCUGAUUGUCGUAGCGUCAAAAAUACGUCACAGAAUAUGUGAAGCAAUGAAGACCUGCUGGUGCUGCUAAGGCACUUUUUAAAUUGGUAGCACUCAACAUCCAACAGCAAGUCAGAGCUACCCUGCUGAGUGAUGGCUGAUGAAAAGCUGAAGAUAAGCUUCGAUCCAGAUUUAAAUGUGUCGAGUAAUGCAUGAGAUAGAAAGAGGGGGUAAUUCUUGUCUGGACCCUGCUGGUGAUGACUAAUGAAGGGCUUAAGCUACGAUUCAGACUUCGAACCCUGCUGGUGAUGACUUAUGAAAAAAUGCUUAACACUUCUAUGAUACAUCACUCCUGAGUGUCAAGUAAGGCACGAGAUGAAAGGAGGUAGUUCUUGUUGAGUUCAUGUAUUCGUUGAAGACUAAGUUGGAGGUAAGUGUGUAUCCAAGUAGAAUGUAAUACAAGAAACCUGUGCUGAACCAAACACCUUAAAAACUGUAAUUACCCAAAACACGGUUACCAAAUCUUAGAUUUUUAAACAUUAAGUACCAAAACAGAGACUAGGAUACCAACUUUCUUCUAUAUUGUUGCGAGAUCAAUUUAUUAAUCAUCAGGUAGGUAUGGCAUCCAAAAUAAGCGACUUGAAAUGUCAGUAUAUUUCCAUGCCAUUCUCACAGUUUACAGGGACUCGGUCAAUGGAUUUAAAUCAUCAACCAACAGACACAUACAAACACAAAUAAUCACAGUACAGGGCCUUUCUGUUCUAAUAGGAAAAGAAAGCUACAAUCUUUUAUCAAAUGGAAAGCACAAGAUGUGUGCUAUCCAAUGAGCUCCGCAACUCCUCUCCAUAGAUUCACUCCUGCACAUUGAUUCAGAUAGUUAGACAAUGCUACACAGAAAACUAUUUCAAUUAAUCUACACAAGAAAUUGAAUAUUUAAAUUGCAGUCCAAUGAACGUCAAAGCACAGCAUUACUUCAAUUAACAAGAAAAUAAUUUGUUAGUAAUAAAAAUGCUGAAGAGGCAAUAAGCCAACAUUAUCUCAGACGUCUGAACUCAUGUCAUAUUAGGUGCUGUUCUCCAAGUAGGUUCUCCCUGAAGCAGGGACUCGGAUACACAGCACAUCCAUUUUGCAGACAGAAUCAUCACUGAAAGAGUACUUGACCUCUAACCAAAAUGAAGGAACAUGAUGGAGAGUCGGCAUGCUAAAAAUGGAAGGAAAAAGAGUAGACGCAAAAAUUGUCAAUAAAGCAUUUUUUCCACGCAAUGCCUCAGAUACAUGAUUUUGAUGUCAUGUUAUUCACUGCUUCCUCAAGUAGGUUCUCCCUGAAACAGGGACUUGAGUCCACAGGACAUCCAUUUUGCAGACAAAAUCAUCACUGGCAGCCAAGUCUCAAAAAUUAUGCUAUUUCGUUGAGCAGAUGCAAAAAAUUGUAAAUGAAGCAUUUUUUUCCCCGCAAUGCCUCAGAUACAUGAUUUUGAUGUCAUGUUAUUCACUGCUUCCUCAAGUAGGUUCUCCCUGAAACAGGGACUUGAGUACACAGGACAUCCAUUUUGCAGACAAAAUCAUCAUUGGCAGUCAAGUCUCGAAAAAUAUGUUAUUUCAUUGAGUCCCAGUAAAAGGAAGAACAUCUCAACAAUAUGACAUGGGCAGUAAAAAAAGGCAAAGAACCCAAAGCACCAUCCAAAUCAGUCAUAAACGAACAAUUCUCAUGUAGUAUGCAUCCAAAUAACAUAGAAACAUCUGGCCUCAAUUUCAAAACCUCAGUAAAUGCCCAUGCAUCUCAUUUGAAUAUAGGACCCCAAGUAGGUUCUCCCUGAAACAGGGACUUGGAAGUUAUCUACAUCUCGAAUUAUGGACAACUCAUCAUUGGCACAUGCAAGGAUUUCAAAUGAAUGCAUUCCGCUAAUUAAGAUACAAAGAACACAACAACAACAAGGAAAGAAGCUUAACAGAACACAGCAACAAACUAAAAAUCACCUCAGAGAAUGACCAGAAAUCUCAUCUGAAUGUAGGACUCCAAGUAGGUUCUCCCUGACAAGCAGGGACUUGGAGCUAUCUACAUCUCACACAUCAGGAAAAUCAUCAUAGAAUAGCAAUGAAAACAUGCUAUAAAUAAAUGCACCUAAAUUUUCUCAUAACCUUGGAUAAUACUGCAAUUAUAAAGCUCAGUAAAAGCCCAUAUAUCUCAUUCCAAUGUAGGACCCCAAGUAGGUUCUCCCUGAAAUUCAGAGACCUGGAGCGAUCUACACCUAAGUUACAGGGCAAUUCAUCAUUGGAUUGAAGCAAGUCAUAUACAGUUAACAUAUCACUACAACAAACAAUAGUAGGUUACUUACAAAGUGAUGUGAACGCCUAUCGAACUAAAAUUACAUAACAAUGAUUGACAGACAGUAACGUUAAUAUACCAGAAGUUAAACGUAAUCUGAGAACAAGCAACUGGAGCCAAUUUAGUGAGCAAUUUUAGAAGCAAUACCAUAAGAAACAGUAAGCUUCCACGUUAAACUCACAAGUAACUCUGUGCCUCCAUGACUGGGCUUCCUUGAGAGUGAACAGUCUCAAGAAACCAAAGGUGAGGAGAGGCACAAUUACUUACUACAUUCUACACCGAAACUAAGAAUGUAAUCCGCCUACCAGCCUAAUCACAAGGAAGCAUUCGGCAGGAAGCACUAACCAGAUGUUACUAGAUGACAGUAAAUCAAAAGGUAACAAAGGAAAAGCUUACCCCCCGUCAAGUGUUAGACUUCUUAUCCGGCGAUUUAGAAGACUGCGGAGAAGAACCAGCCGCCGCCGCAGGGGCGUCGUGAGAGCAGCAUCCACCGGGGCCGUGGUGGUGGUGGUGAUGGUGCUUCUUAGGCUGCGGCUGCCGCAGAGGCUUGCGCAUAUCGAACGCGUCCUCCCCGUCGGCGUAGUACUUGGCCUCGAUGUCGUGGAUCUGGUACCCGAGGGUGGAGGUGUAGAGGUUGAAGGCGGCGCGGUUGGACCGGCGCACGUGGAGGGAGACGUACUCGGCGCCGAAGACCUGGUCCAUGGCGGCCUGCGCGGCGGACAUGAGCUUGGUGGCGAGCCCCAGCUUGCGGUGGGAGCGGAGGACGGCGAGGGAGGUGAUGUGGCCGUGGCAGGGCUCAGAGGGGUCCUCCUCCAUCUUGGCGAGCACGUAGCCGACGAUGCGGCCGCCGUAGUCCUCGGCGACGAAGAGGAGCUGCGGCCACGAGAGCAUGUGGUAGAGGUAGUACUUCAUCUGGUAGUUCUCCGGCAGGCACAUCAGGUUGCACGCCUGCAUCGCGAGCAGGUCGUCGAUGGUCGCCUGCCGGAUGCACACCAUCUUGUCCGCCGCCGAAUUCUCCCCUCUACUCUCCCGGAUGCGGUGGAUUUGUGGUUCCCCGGCGAGAAGUGGUGAUGGUGAAGCGGACGGCGGCGGUUGCUUGGCCUGUAUUAAUAAAGGGAGGAUCGGGGGAGGCCUUGACCUAACCCUAGAGGGAAACGGGCCGAAACAAGCAUGUGGACCGAGGGAGUCUUGCUUAUGGGCCGGCCUAUGAGCAACAACUCCCCGUGGAGGCAAACUGAAACUGGAUACGUACACACUACCUGAGUUUUUUCAGAAGAAAGCACAAAAACAUUGACGAUCUGAAUUCGAAUUAAAAAAACCGAAGAAAUCACAUACAUGAGAAGAUUCUGGGAACCUGAAACUGUACAUAAAUGACAGCACAGAAACAUUGACGAUCUGAAUUUAAAUGCAAAAAACGAAGACAUCACAUACAUGAGUCGUUUCCUCUGCCGCUGGUGCAUAACACAAGGAAUGCAGACAUGGAAGGCGUCAAAAAAAAUUUCUUUUCAUAAUUAGAGAGCGUCAAACAUUGAUGAACACAGUUCGUAUCCUUGCCAAAGCAUGUUCCACAACAAUGUGCGGCAAAUUGUGCCUACCCAUCAAUCAAACUGCCCUUAAGCCUCAGGGACAUGGAGUGCGUGUGCAUGGUGAGUUGGUGACAUCUUUGUAUGUCCCUCGUUCCAAUUUAAAACAAGCACAAAAUAGCUCAAUAAUAGUGUCAGAAAAGAGGCAUAAACUUAAGUACUUAGCAAGAAUACAUUAGCAACAAAGGGUCAACAUUUUAAGUUGCACAAUGAAAUUACAACUUCAUCAGCAACGGGUAAAUAAUACAUGAGAUUGGAGUUCGUUUCCACUGGAACAGACGGUUCUGAGGGGUGCUUUGAGAGCACGGUUCUAAAUAAUCGACCAGUGCAAGCUUAUGCCCCAUCAGCGAGGAAAGGGUUCGCGAUCUCAUCGGUUCCAUCAGUCGGUGAGACCAGCAUGACUGCCGUGCCCCUGCACACCUGCAAGGAACAGAAAAGAGGUAUAAUGUUCAGAUUGCAGUUCUAAAGCCCAUGAAAAAGCAACAUCACAUAUAUCAAAAGAAAUUUAUUUAGCAGUGACCUGAAAAUCAUGUAGUUUCUUACUUUUAUUCAGGUAACAACAGGAGGACUACUAGAAUACUAGUGCCUGAGCCUACUUUGCACUUAUUCUUAAAAUCGUUCAUUGCUAACAAAAUGGGUACAAGGUUGUGAGAAGAUUAACAAUAACACACUUCAACAUCAGCACCAUCGAGCAUCAGCUUCCCUAACGCAUCAGUCAAAUAAUAGAAAAAUGACUGAGUACACAUGUUAAAUCUAAUCUGUCAGAAAAGAAUACUUACAAUGAGGCCAAGCUGUCUGGUUUUCCCAGAUAACUUCAACGGGUCAUCUUGCUCUACAAAAGAAAAUGAAUAGAUUAUGGAUCAUUCCAUUCAGUGCUAUAAAAAGAACUUCAACACAAUUCCAUCUGCAUACACAGCAUAUGAGCUGCAGAAAAUAGGCACUAUGACCCAGUUCUUUGCAGAAUAUAAAAUCCAAUACUUCAUUCAGUCUUUAACACUUAGUUGAGUGCUAAUGAACAGUUAUCUCAUCCCUAGCCAGAUUUUAAUUGAAAUAUUAGCUAGCAAAUGCUAACUGCCCAAAAUUAUUGAGGCAAAAUGUUGUAAAAUUGUAUCAUAAGUCCUAAUUCUAGCCAAUUUCAAUGAGCAAAAACCAGACGUUAUACAACAAAACCAAAGGAAUCAGACAGUACCUCUUUCGUACUCCACUGCUUCAUCUAGCACUAAGUUGAGUAGCUGGUCGUAUCCCUUUAAAGUUCCUGUCACUGGACACAUGAAUAUGGUGGCAGGUAAGCAUAUAUAGGAAAGAAACCCAGAGAAGGUACACAAGGGUCCAUGUCCAUGUAUUGAAAUCUCUAAAGGAGCUUACGCAUUGUUCAGCUACUAGCACAAGAGACAAUAAGCCUAUUAUGUAUAGAUGAACAAUUCCAACAUAAAAGGAAGUUGCAAGUCAAGAGAUUGUGCAAAUGAAAGCAGUAAACAUUCCACAUGGUAGUAAACUUGGAGCCCACAAAAUUAUGACAACAAUCCUAAUUAAUUCUGACUUUCUACUUUAUCAUUUUCGUGUUCUAUAAAAACAUGUACACAGACAAACUCAGUUGGAGAGCAAGCACGCAUUAUGUUUUAGAGUAAAUUUCACAAAACCUAAGUUUAGUGGCCCAGGUGUCACAAAGCCCUAGGUUUCAACAUGCAACACUAACGCCAGGUUUUGUGGUUCACUGACCACAAGUCCAACAAAAAUAAUUUAUUACAUGACUAUUGGUUUAAACAAAUGCCAGGGUUAUGUAGCAGAUUUUGUGAACUUCACCUGAUAACUUACUUAAAACGAUUGCACAGCAGCACAUGCUAACACAAACACCAAGCGCAUGAACAUAUCACAAGCUGGAUAGGGAGACUAUCCAUAGGAUUGUACUUUGACUGUGUUCAAUAGGUACAUCCUCCUCAUGGAGAAGGCGCAAAUUUGGGGCACGAAAUUGUUCAGACAAUUAAAGGAGGAGGGGGAAGGAGGGGGAUGUGAAAUCAACCUUGCCUGCCGCCGGUAAGCUUCACCUGGACGCCCUUGUCGACGAACUUCGCCAGGUCGAGUGCAGUCUCCUUGCGCCCCGCCUGAUCAGGAAACAAACAAACAGCACAACUCAACCUCGCAUCACGAGCCAGCCACCACACGAAUCUAAAACAAGCGAACUACUACGCGCACGAAAAGGGAAGUCGAUGCUUAGUUGCUUACCAUCUCAAUACUAGCACGCGGCGGAAUCCUUCGAGCGAAUCCUCCUACCACCGCCUGAGAGCCGCAAAUCGCCGGGGGAUUCGAGCGGAUUUUUGCCCUAGAAAUCGAUGCGGCCGCCGCAGCUGGGGAACUCACGAUGAAGAGGAGAAAGCUGGGGGUUUUGCCCUUCUGCUUUGCCCACCCAACAACCAGGAAAGGAGGACGUGGAAAGUCGCAGCUAACCCGGCCCAGAUAAACUCGCAGAGGCAUGCGGCCCAACCCAUAGCGCCUCACAUAUGUGGGCCUUUCGUUUCAGGGUCCUAUAUCCGUUUACGUUUCUUCUAAAGCGUAUUUCUGAGUUCAUGCUUUUCAUCUGCCCUCACUUGUCCCUUCAAAAUUCUGAGGGAACCGAUGAUGGAGAGCGUCAUCACCGGAAAAAGAUAUAGACUUUGACUUUCCGCAAGUGUAGUGCAUCACGAUCUCUUUGCUAGAGCGGCGGCUAUUGACCGCUAGACAGAUAGGUAAUUUUUUCUCUAACUUUCACAUAUGAUAACCUUACUUUUCCAUAUGUUAUACAGCAUAAGGAAGCAGAGAGAACACCAUAGAGAGGUGCGGGCAUUUCGUCGAAUAGGUGCCGCGUACAAUAACAUUGACUCCCCACCUAACACAAACAAAUUUAAAAUCACUCUACAUGCAUGCGGCUGCGCUCCACGAAAUGAGAAAACCGCCUGCGACAUAGCACAAGGGAGUAGAGACACCAUAGAGAGCUGCGAAAAAUUCGUCGAAUAGGUGCCGCGGGCAAUAAUAUUGACUCUCCACACAACACGAACAAAUUCAAAAUCACUUCGAACCUAUGCGGCUGCGCUCUCCCAACUAAGAAAGUCCCCUACGACACACGAAAAUACGAGGUUAACAGACGUGAAAGCCGGAGAAAAAAUUAUCUACCUGUCCAGCGACCAGUAGCCGCCACCUUGGCGAGGAGACCGCGACGCCUCACACUGGUGGGAAGUUCAACCCUAUAUUCUUUUGGUGGUGGCGUUCUCUAUCCUCGAUUCCCUCGAAAUCUCGAAAGGAGACAGAAACAACGGGGAGUGAGGGCAGAUGAAAAGCGUGAACUGAGAAAUACGCUUUAGAAAAACGAAAACGGAUAUAGGACCCUAAAACGACAGGUCCACAUAUGUGUGGCGCUAUGGGUUGGGCCGCAUGCCUCUGCAAGUUUAUCUGGGCCGGGGUAGCUGCGACUUUCCCCGUCCUCCUGUCCUGGUUGUUGGGUGGGCAAAGCAGAGGGCAAACCCCCCCCCCCCCCCCCCCCCCAAGCUUUCUCCUCUUCUUCGUGAGUUCCCCAGCUGCGGCGGCCUCAUCGAUUUCUAGGGCAAAAAUCCGCUCGAAUCCCCCGGCGAUUUGCGGCUCUCAGGCGGUGGUAGGAGGAUUCGCUCGAAGGAUUCCGCCGCGUGCUAGUAUUGAGAUGGUAAGCAACUAAGCAUCGACUUCCCUUUUCGUGCGCGUAGUAGUUCUCUUGUUUUAGAUUCGUGUGGUGGCUGGCUCGUGAUGCGAGGUUGAGUUGUGCUGUUUGUUUGUUUCCUGAUCAGGCGGGGCGCAAGGAGACUGCACUCGACCUGGCGAAGUUCGUCGACAAGGGCGUCCAGGUGAAGCUCACCGGCGGCCGGCAAGGUUGAUUUCACAUCCCAAGGAUUGAUCUGGUCAACUAGUUGAGGUCGAGUCCAUGUCUGAAGCAGCACAAACGAUGUGAGUUCUUUUGCUCAUUAGGUGAAUAUGUGCUAAUCAUGGAACUGGUUUUCUGGUUCUGAGGAUGACUGCAGCGCACUGCAUGGCCUAUUGGGUUGUUCUAAUUAUUUAUUUUGUGAAUGAACUAUAUUGUUGCAAUUUAAGCAAUCUGCAUAGUUGUUCCAUAUUAAUGUAACUUUGAGGGCUGCCUGUUCUGUGAUGCUGGGUUCUUAUUAUGUUUAAGUGUCCAAUGAUGUUGCAGGGAAGGGGGAGGGGAUAUCAACAUGCUCCGGGUACUUGUGGCGACUGACUGCCAUCUAGGCUACAUGGAGAAAGAUGAGAUACGUAGGUUCGAUUCCUUUCAAGCAUUUGAAGAGAUUUGCUCAUUGGCAGAUCAAAAUAAGGUUUGUAGGAAUGAUAUAUCUGCUAGUACCACUUGUUUUCCCAGCUCUUGUGAGCUCAUGGGUUGUUUAUGCUUUAUACGAAACUGAAUUGCAGGUAGAUUUUAUACUUCUUGGUGGUGAUCUAUUCCACGAGAAUAAGCCGUCACGCUCAACCCUGGUGAGAACUAUUGAGAUCCUACGACGCUACUGCCUAAAUGACCAACCAGUGAAGUUCCAGGUUGUCAGUGACCAGACAGUUAACUUCCCAAACAGGUGAGCACAUGAAUGUUAUUGCUUGAUCAAUACUUUGAUAGUCAAUUUAUGUAUGUUCAAGACAACUUCACCAUAAAACUCUUAUGGAGAAGUUCGUCACUUUUUUUUUGAAAGAUUUAGUUGAUCACUUUUUCCAGAGAUUCAUUCUGAUAUAUGAUUCAUUCGUUACAAGAAAUUUUCUGCUGUAUUCUCAGAUUUGGACAAGUAAAUUAUGAAGACCCAAAUUUCAACGUUGGCUUGCCUGUUUUCACUAUCCAUGGAAAUCACGAUGACCCAGCUGGAGUGGUAUGGACAUUGUUUUGUUACCCUCUAAUAUGGACAUUGUUUUGUACCCUCUAAACUUUGUGUAUUUGUACUGAAAUUAUGCCUAUGAUGGGAUGUCAGCUUUCUUUGAAACAUUUAUGCUUCUUGUUGUAGGACAAUCUCUCAGCCAUCGAUAUUCUUUCGGCUUGCAAUCUUGUAAAUUAUUUUGGAAAGAUGGACCUUGGUGGCUCUGGUGUUGGCCAAAUAGCAGUUUAUCCUGUACUCAUAAAAAAGGUGCGCUACUUCAACUCCAGGAAAUGACUUAUGUUUAAUAUGCUAACUUCAUUGCUUUUCUAUUAUUUCAGGGCAUAACUUCAGUUGCGCUUUAUGGUCUUGGUAACAUUAGGGAUGAACGACUAAACAGAAUGUUUCAGGUGCCUUUCCAUCAUUUUUUUCCUUGAAAUAACUUCUUGCCAGUUAAACAAGAACACUUUUUUGAUAUUGCAAACAUUUACAUGCCACCUUUUUGUUAUUAUUUGUAUCAUGUUUUGUUUUUGAAUACUUCAGACACCUCAUUCAGUACAGUGGAUGCGGCCUGGAACUCAAGAUGGAGACUCAGUAUCUGACUGGUUCAAUAUAUUGGUUCUUCAUCAGAACAGGUGCGCAUAGCAAGUUAAAACAACAGAGGAUUUAUUUUAUUCAUUUGGUCCUACAUCCUGCUUACUGAAAAUCAAAUUUACACCGAAACUCACAUAGGAUAAAGACAAACCCUAAAAGUGCCAUCAACGAGCAUUUCUUACCACGUUUUCUGGACUUUGUUGUGUGGGGCCAUGAGCAUGAAUGCCUUGUUGAUCCUCAGGUAACAGCUUGGGGAUUUCAGUUUUUACAUUUCAUGAUUUAAGGGAAACUAACUGUGCACUUGCCUUCUAAUAAACUAUUUACAGGAGGUCCCUGGGAUGGGUUUCCACAUCACUCAACCAGGCUCAUCAGUUGCGACCUCCCUGAUAGAUGGGGAAGCAAAACCAAAGCAUGUUCUUUUGUUAGAGAUCAAGGUCUUCUUUCAAGACAGAACUUUCUUAUUCAUGUUGAAUGUGCUGUUUGUAGUUUUUCAUUCCUUAUAUGUUUUGUAAAUAGGGAAAUCAGUAUAGGCCAACCAAAAUACCUCUCAGAUCUGUCAGACCUUUUGAAUAUGCUGAGGUAUGUCUUUCUCAUAUUUCAUGCUUCUUGUUUUAGUUAGUGAAUCUUACAGUUUAAAUUUGUAGGUUGUGUUAAAGGAUGAAGCAGAUGUUGAUCCCAACGAUCAGGCCUCUGUGCUUGAACACUUGGAUAAAAUUGUGAGUGCUUGUAUCCAUUCUGUUUUUGGAUCUUCACAAGUUUCUUAAGAAACAUUAAAGAGUAGUCUGCUUGUUAUUUUCUCUAGUCUGCCCAUAUGUGUUGUCAAUUGUAAGUGGAUUUUCUUGGGUUUCGUAUUACUGAAUUGCUUCAGGUGAGAAAUUUGAUUGAGAAGAGUAGCCAACCAACAGCCAGCAGAUCAGAGUCCAAACUUCCAUUAAUUAGAAUUAAGGUAAUAAAAUGCAGCGCAUAAUUGGGUGCAAAGUGAUCAAGAAAGAAAAAGUAUAUGACAAUGCUCAUAUUGUUUUGCAGGUAGAUUACUCCGGGUUUUCAACAAUAAACCCACAACGUUUUGGUCAGAAAUAUGUAGGAAAGGUACCUAAAUCACUAAUUUGGUACUACUGAAGUGUCCUGUCUCAAUCCUACUUGGUUGAACUUGUUUGAUGAUUUUGCAAGGUGGCAAACCCUCAAGAUAUUCUCAUUUUUUCAAAAUCUGCAAAGAAGCGUCAGACUGCAGGAGGUAUUUCUUUAUAUUUUGGGAGAAACAGUGCAUCUGAUAUCUAUUGAUUGAGAAAAAAAGCUACAAAUGACCUGUUUAUUUUCUUAUUGAUUUAUUUUUUAAAUUAUGUCUAUCUUGUAGACCAUAUUGAUGAUUCUGAGAAACUUCGUCCUGAGGAACUAAACCAACAAACAAUUGAAGCUUUGGUUGCAGAGAGCAACUUGGUACUUAUGAUACUGCACAUACCUCUUUGGCUCUGUCUUUGAGGAUGGAAUAAAUGUUGGCCUCUAAUUGUGCAAACUAAAAGCAAACAUCUAAUCUUCUUAAUAAUCCCCACACGAAUUAGGAGUUGAAAUGUUUUCUGUUAGUGCAGCAUAUCAAUUCACUUUCAUUUGGAAUGUAAUUUUAAUGCCCAGAAAAAUGCUUCUAGCUAGGGCUAGGAGCCGCGUGGGUAGGCAUGAAUGCCCCAGUCAGUAUUUUGAUGAAAGGCAUGUCUGUUCAGGUCCUCUCACAAUGUAUGACAUAUUCUGGGUUACUGGGUACAUGCCUCAUUCACGAUGUGCUGUAAAGAGGAUUUCGUUUUAUGUUGUUUGCAAUUUUUUGUGAAUCUAUUGGCUAUUUUUCAUCAUCUAUUUGUUUUCUGCAGUCAUUAUAUGUACUUAAAAUAUAAGCUUUAUAAUGGCACACAUUUCUUCUUGUUUUCAGAAAAUGGAGAUUCUUCCGGUGGAUGACUUGGACAUUGCUUUGCAUGAUUUUGUGAACAAGGAUGACAAGAUGGCAUUUUAUUCAUGUUUGCAGCGAAAUCUUGAGGAAACCAGGGUAUAAUUCCCUAGGAUUGUGAGGUGUUAGCUUUUAGUUCUGGAUGCCAGAGAAGAAUCAUGCAUCUAAUCUACAAAUCUUGAUAACAAAUUUUGCAGAGUAAGUUGAGUUCUGAAGCAGAUCAAUCUAAAAUCGAGGAAGAAGAUAUAAUAGUCAAAAUUAGUGAGUGCAUGCAGGUAUUUAAGCCUUCUACAGUUGUACUAUAGUUAUCCAAUAAUGUUCUGUCUCAAAAAGGUGGUUAACAAGUCCCAAUCUAAAAUCUAGGACCGUGUAAAGGAAAGGUCCCUUCGCUCCAAGGAAGGCUCACGGUUCACGUCAAGCUCUCAAAACUUGGUUGUUAUUAUCUUUGAGCAUUAAAAUUCCUUUUUCUUUAUGUAAUAUUUUCUUUCCUAGAAAGCUUAUAACACUUAUGAUAUUCAUCUAGGAUACUGGAGGCAAAUCCGUUGCAGCUCUAAGCAGCCUGAACUCCUUCACUGAUGAUGAAGACACCAGGGAGAUGCUUCUUGGUGCAAGAUCAACUGAUGUUGGCAGAAAAUCAUCUGGAUUUACUAGACCUUCCAAAGCUAGGACUGAUGUUACUAAACGUGGGGCUCCCAAAAGGGGCAGGGGAAGAAGCACCAGCUCAAUGAAGCAGACCACUCUUAGUUUCAGUCAGCCGAGGUUGGUUAUUCUAACCAUUAGUCAGUUGUCAUCUUUCUUUUCAGCUUUGAACCUUUGAAAUUCAAUAGAAUUUUGUGUUACUAUGGAGAAUGUAGUUAUUCAGCCAGGACCAAAUAGAAUAGCCAUGCCAAGCCUAAUUUUGCAGGUGCCCUGAUUUUCAGGCUGCAGCCAAGCUAGAAUGCUCUUCUUUUGGGCGAAAAAGCUACUUCAUUGCUAAAUUUACUAACAUAGCAUCCAUUUGCAGGUCAAGUACCGUCAUCCGCAGUGAGGAGGUAGCAUCCUCCUCAGAGGAGGAAGCAGAUGCAAAUGAAGUUGUUGAAAAUUCAGUAUGUCUGUUUACUCAAUUUUUGUUGGUGCAGGUGCAUGUAGAUAUUAUGGACUGCCUUAUUUUCCUGCCAAAUGAUCUCAUCAUCUGUUUUUAUUCUCUAAUGCUCACAGGAAGAGGAGAGUGCGCAACAAGUCGGGCGUAAAAGGGCAGCUCCUAGAGGCAGAGGCAGAGGUCGAGGUUCUACUGCGAAGAGGGGGAGAAAAACAGAUAUUGCUUCCAUCCAAAGUAUGAUGAGCAAAGAUGAUGAUGAUUCAGAAGAUGAGCCGCCCAAGAAAGCUCCUCGGGUGAGUGAAUCACCUCACUAUUCUCAGUUCGCAUACUGUAGCUAUCUCCACUGUCAUGCAAAAUUUUGUGCAUUUUAAAGAAAACAUAUUACGUGAAAUGAGUUGAUUAAUUAAAAAAUUUUGUUGUUUCGCAGCCCGCCAGGAACUAUGGGGCUGUCAAGAGGAGAUGAUCUUUUAGGAAGUUCUUGGCUUCUUGCCCUUGAGAAUACAGGCUAGGGUUUGUGAGUUGUCUUAGAAGAGCCGGCUAGCUUGCAUCUACAUGGACGAUGGUUUGUUUUGCCGGUGAACUAACUGUACCUUUACACGCUCGAGUGUAUCGGAAUUAUACAUGCUUAUAGAUGCUAAAUCCCAACCGUUGGAUUGUACAUGUCAUUCAUGUCACGCAUGAAUUUUGACCAGGGAUGUUGGAGGGUGUUCGUCAAAGCUCGCCUGCGUGUGUAUAUAUUCCAUAAUCCAUCGAUGUUGUGCAUAUUUUUGUACGAAGUUCUCGAUCGACUGCAUGGCACUCAAAACUUGCACAAAACAUGCUAUGCUUGAGAAGCAUUCAUGUGUAGCUAUGUACAUAAUCAUCUGUUAGAUUUCACAAGGAAAAAGCAAAAGGAUCGAGCAUCCACAAACAUGAAAAUCCUCAACAAGAUGAUCCAACGAACUGCUAAAUCUUAAAUGUGUAGUUAUGUACAUAAUGGCAGCAAAAAGGUUCCCUAAAACCUGAAAAGGAUGAAAUCAGACAUCCCUGUGACUAAUGCAUCUCGUGCUCUCUUUGCAAAACAAGUGAUAGCUACCAUGAAGCUAAUUCUGACUCCGCCAUUGAUUCAUGUGGUUUGGAGCAGAACAGUGAGGAAGCCAGGGAGUGGGAGGCGCUGCUGGAGCAGCACACGGCGGGUAGUGCACAUCUGCCGUUAGUUGAAGAAACCGUUAGAACAUUGCUUCUAUGUUUGACAGCAUAUUACGGAAAAUCAAAAUCAGAUCAGGGUGCAUCAAUGAUUGUUAAAUUCAGGCAAAACCAUGUAACAAGGAAACUGAAUGGCAAGUGAGCUAAACAGACGACUCUAUCAAGAUGACUGCUAAUGUGCUAAUGGAAUGAAACUGUUGGUCUAAAAACGUCAAUGGUUUGCAAGCAUAAGUUUUGAACCUAGAAAUAUACCAAGUAUAAUUAUAGGUAGAUUAUGAACUGGACUAACAAGACCACAUGGUGAUCACUUACCAGACUGUUGUCCAUAGGGCCUGCAACUGUCAGAACUCCAUGAAGAAGAACUAUAUUGAUUUGGCAACCACUGAGCAACUGGCUGUGAACUAUAUGCUGGAAGAGUUGGUGGUGGCACCUGAUGUGGCCUCCCAAUCAGAUUUGCAGCUGCAUAGCCAGGGACCCCAUAGGCUUCAGCUGACCCAGGUGCCUGGUAGAGGUUCCUAUUAGUCAUGGGAGCCUGAAUACAUUGGUGCAUCUCAGGGCUAUAAGGAUUAGGAUUGUACGGGCUCGGGUUCCUAUGGGAUCCACAUGUACUCUGUCCAUAAGCAGGAAGUGGGGUACUUUGGUAGCUUCCAUGCAACUGAUACUGGUUUGAGUUACUCAGAUAGCUUGAGGGCAUCUGAUAUUGGUUCGGAGCACUUGGGUAGCCUGAAUGAAAUUCAUGUUGGUUUCCUGUUGGACUCUGAAACCUCUGAACACUAGAUGGUGCCUGUUGCUGCGUUGUGGUGCCCAUAGUAUGCACACCUGUGCUGAAAGUAGCAGCACUUCCAGGUACCGUGCCACUAUAACUUCCAUAUGAAUUGGCCAUUGGUGGGUGAAUGUUUGCCAUGGAUGACCUUGCCCUAGGAUCAACUGGAGCAGCAGUCGCUGCAUAUGUUGAGUUAGCCUGUAAGCACACAGAACAUCAGAACACUACUGUAUUGCUUUGCAUAUUGACACUGAUCAUGAUGGCACAAAACAAAAGAGAAACUAUUUCAAAAUAACAAUAAAGGCACCAUACAUUUUGGUUACUGGAAUUGCCACAGCUUGGGGUCCCGGUUCUUGGCAGCACCCGUUGCAUCUCAAGUAGGUUUCUCUGGGCCUCAUCCCUAGAAAGCUCUGUAAAAAUUACCUGAAAAAUGUUUUAAAACACAGUGAACUAAGCAAGCAUUUGAGAGUAGUCAGAAGAUGCAGUACAAUAAUACCAAAAUUUGAGUAUACCUUGUUAAAAGGCUCCUUCGAAUCAGGCAUAUCCCUUGAGAGCGGCAAGAUAAAAUUGGCUGAAUAGGGAAUGUACGGUAACUGGUAAGUGUUGGAUGUAUAGACACUAAAAAAAGUGAAGCUGGACGGCAAACAUGUUACUUGAGAGUAAAGUAAAGACGUGCAUAUGCCCAGGUACCUGUCAUUUCGUUAACUGCUUCAGCUGGCACUUCCUUCCCCAUCUCAUCGAAUUGCUUUGCUGCCCUGGAUUUCAGUUCACUUGGCGGUGGGAAUACGACCACAGCAGUCUGUUGCAUACAAAAGUGGCAUUACACAUCUUAUCAACCAAUCCCGCGCUAAGACUUGCUAAUCCAACCACCAUACAGAAAAUGGGAUAUUCUUUACUCUUUUGCAUCUUACCUUACGGUAGUUGGCAAAAGGCCUCAGCUUGCGAAUACGAGCAUUCUUGUAAACAUUUGUUUGAUCAAUGAUAAAGUUGCGACGGGUGUUUGCAGCCCUGGUCAGCAAUUUGUUGAAAAUCCAUGUAGCACACUCCAUCAACCGAUCAAAACGCUCACCAUAGUUGUUCUUACGCAACAAUCCUGGCACCUGCAAUGAUCAAGGCUGUCAAAAACUGAAGAGGCAGCAACUAAAAGAACACCAUUAUUGCCACGAGAAGGAAAACCAACCUUCAUUUGCUCCAAUGCAAGGUUAGUCCCGAGAAGGAUAAAACGUUUCUCCGGAUGCUCCUUGACCCACUUCUCUGCCCAUGUCGACUUGCCUGAAGCUGGGAGACCAACCAUCAUCAUGACCUCACAUUCACCCUGUUCAAACAAAGGGCCAAAUACUGCAUUCCCAUCAGCAAAAGCCGAGGCCCAGGGCUCAUAACCAUCAACUGGCUCCAGCCCAUCCUCCCUGCUGAAUAGCAUCUCCACGACAAUAUUCUUCAGCAGGACAUGGGGAAAGAGCGCGGAUUCCCAUUGCAUCGGCCUCACAGGGGCAUCAACCAAGCCAAGCCCCUUCUCACCGGCAUCGAAAUGCUUCGCGAUACCAAGCCACUCGCCGUUCCUCGCGAACCCGAUCGACGCCAUGGGCUUCGAAUCGAGGUCCACGGCGCAGACGACCGUGUCCCCGACCCCGAACCUGACGCCGUAGUUGGCGAACCGCCGCUGGUGGGAGAACUUCCCCGUGCCCCCGAACCCGAAGCUGUGGUCGGACUCCCCGAGCGCCCCCACGGGAUCGUCGCCCCUGGAGACGCCAAUGCGGCAGAGGUGGCGCUCCUCGGGGGCCGCGAGGUCCAUCUCCACGGUCUGCUCGGAGACGAUUCUGCACCCGAAGCAGUACCUACCGCCGCCCCUGGCGCCCACCGUCGCGCGCGCGCCCGACCAGCAGUAGGCGAACCCGCCGUCGUGCAGCGCGCUCCCCUGGAGGCCGCCCCCGCCGACAUCGAAGUCUGGAUGGACGAACGCACCGCGGCGACAGCAACGGUUAGAGGCGCGAUUAACGAAAAUGAGAGUGCCGAGGAAGACGGGGUGUCAGGUAAGUGUGUGCGUACCGAGAUCGCAGUCCGCCGGGUUUAGCUCCACGCGCGGCGGCGGCGGCGGCGGCUUUGCGGUGUCCUCCUCCGCUUCGGGGUCGCGCCGGGAACGCUUCGGCGGUGGCUGCGCGGCCUCGCCGUCCGGGGUCGCCAUUGGGUUAGGGCCGGGGCUGUCGCGUGUCGCCGUGUCGGGUUUACGGGGGGAGACUUGGGAGAGGGAGGAAUCGCUGCCACGGUUCAGGCUCGACUCGACGCCUCCUCUCCUGCGGUCCUGCCACGUCGGUAGCGGUCUAGCGGUCGUGUACUCGGAUGAAUAGUCCAGUCGUUACGGCGGCGACCGUGAUGUUGUGUUGGGCUGCGAUACGGGCUCACAGAUGGGCCGGCCUUAUUCCCCCAUGGUCGGUGCAGCAAAAUUUUAAGUUUUCUUACCGACCUAGUAGACACUAAUUUUUCUUUUUGUGUGUGCUGUUAUUACCAAGAUUAAUAUAUGAAUUAAUUAUACCAAAUAUUAAAUAUAGCCAUGUUAAAUCUAAAUUCAUACACAAGUAAAAUUGAACCAAGGUUAAAAAAAGAUUUUUUUUCGUUUUUAGAUAUUAUGAUGGAGCGGCUUGGUAGACGGGGUUGAAUUCUUUUACGGCUAAUUGUUUGUUCGACUUUUAGAAGAUCAUAAUAACAUGCCUAUCUUCCUACAAAUUUUAGUGAUGUUUUUCUCAAUUUUUCUGCCGGUUACAUUGUUGAAAGCUCUGUCAAAGGCAAAAGAACGAUAAUGUGAUAGGUAUUAGACAUGGUUUGUAAUAAAGUAGCAUCUUCAUUAUUUACGUAUCUUUUGCUACAGUUUGUAAGCUGGCUUUAUAAACCGUUUCGAUGUCUUAGUCUGCAUCUUUUAACUGGAAAACAAUGGAAGGCACAUCAACAGGUUAACAGGUUUUACCCUACAGAUUUGGUAAUUUCUCUACUUGACAACCAAAAUGGUCCAGAGUUAAAUAGGCAAGAGACAUUGUCAGCGUGACCAUUCUUACAUGCUGCGAUGCGAUCUGCCUGGUGAAAUACUCUGCUUCACCUGCACGGCGCGGCGGACAGCAGCAUCGACGAAGCGGCGAGCCAGCAAAAGGCAGCCGCGGUGACUUGUCCCCCCUGGAUCUGCACGGCGUCUGAGCCAGGCGGGCGGGCAGCCAGAUCAAGUCGCAGAGCAGUCAAGCAAGGCACGUCGGUCCAAGAGCGAGCACGACGCUGCCCGGCCGCGCCGCGCGACGCGAGAUCUGAAAAGGGAAAUCGAGCAGCUCGCGCGCGCGCGCGGCGGUUAGCGGCGCGUCUCGGAUCUCGGCGCGGCGCCUCCCGCCCGGCCAGUGCGGCGAGAGCAGCGGGGGCGCGGGCGCGGGCUCGGGACCGCCCCCCCCCCGCGCGAUCCGAUGAGGCGGCGGCCGUUCCUGGAACAGCGGCGACCGUCGUUCAAGCGCCGGUGGCAGCAGCGGCCGUGGUGGGUGCGCCUCGCGCUCUCGCUCCUCCUCGCCCUCGCCUGCGUCCUCCUCCUCGCAGUCCUUCUCGGCUCCCCCGACCCCGGCGCCUCGCCGUCCAUCUCCACCGCCUCCUCCGGAUCCGAGGCCACCUCCUCCCCUCUCCUCCGUCAGGUAACCACGUCGCAUUUACCGCAUUGCAGGGAUCGUCUCGCCAUCCGAGUAUUUGACCACGAGCAAGCCAAUUUUAGUUAGUAGCCAUUACACUUGCUAAAUCCGCUAGCUUUCUUAGUGUCUAGUGCUAGAUUUUGCGGAAAGAUAACGAGUGCGCUAUCGAGUAGCAUCUGAAAGUUUUCAAACCUCUCCUGUGCAGAGAUCUUACCUGGGGGGCAUCACGGAUGUUCUCAACAUGACUGACGAAAUGCUGAGCGCUCGCUCGUUCUCCAGGCAGCUCAUGGACCAGAUUUAUCUAGCCAAAACCUAUGUCGUCGUCGCGAAGGAGGCCAAUAACCUGCAGUUUGCGGCGGAGCUUAGUGCCCAGAUGCGGCGGGCGCAGAGCAUCCUCGCGCACGCUGCAGCCCACGGGGGCACGGUGCUGGAGCAGGAAGCAGAGAAGGCGAUCAGGGAUAUGUCUGUGCUGCUCUUCCAGGCGCAGCAGCUGCGGUACGAUAGUGGCAUCACAAUCAUGAAGUUGAAAGGCCAGAUUCAGUCUCUAGAGGAGAAGUCGAAAGCUGAGGCAGAGAAGAGCACAAAAUAUGGGCAGAUUGCUGCUGAGGAGCUCCCGAAGGGGCUUUACUGCCUUGGUGUCCGGUUAACCAUGGAAUGGUUCAAGAAUUCUGAGCUUCAGAGGAAGUUUUCGGAUAGGAGCCCAGCAGUGCAGAACAACCUAAGGGAUAACAGCCUCUAUCAUUUUUGUGUCUUCUCAGACAACAUCCUUGCUGUUUCAGUUGUUGUCAAUUCUACAGCUAUAAAUUCAAAGCACCCUGAAAAGAUUGUCUUUCACCUAGUUACCGAUGAGUUGAACUAUGCUCCAAUGAGGGCAUGGUUUGCCAUGAGUGACUACAGAGGGGUCACUGUGGAGAUUCAAAAGGUGGAGGACUUUACUUGGCUCAAUGCAUCAUAUGUUCCUGUUCUUAAGCAGCUGCAGAACACUGCUACUCAGAAGUUCUACUUCUCUGGCAGUGGUAACCGCGGAACACCAAUUAAAUUCAGGAACCCAAAGUACCUAUCCAUGCUUAAUCACUUGAGGUUUUACAUUCCAGAAAUAUAUCCUGAAUUGCAGAAGGUGGUAUUUCUUGAUGAUGAUAUUGUUGUUCAGAAGGACUUAUCCGAACUGUUUACUAUCAACCUCAAUGGUAAUGUGAUGGGUGCUGUAGAAACUUGCAUGGAGACAUUCCACAGGUUUCAUAAGUAUCUUAACCAUUCCCAUCCCCUAAUCCGUGCUCAUUUUGACCCUGAUGCUUGUGGCUGGGCAUUUGGUAUGAAUGUGCUCGAUCUUGUCGAAUGGAGGAACAAGAAUGUGACAGGUAUAUAUCAUUAUUGGCAGGAGCGCAAUGCUGAUCAUACCCUAUGGAAGCUUGGGUCUUUACCGCCUGGGCUUCUUGCUUUCUAUGGUUUGGUUGAAGCACUGGAUCCCAAAUGGCAUGUCUUGGGGCUUGGCUACACUACUGUGGAUCCUGCUACUAUCAAGGAAGGGGCAGUGCUGCAUUACAAUGGAAAUAUGAAGCCAUGGCUCAAAAUUGGAAUGGAGAAGUACAAGAGCUUUUGGGAUAACUAUGUGGACUAUUCACACCCUUUGAUUCAGCAGUGCUUCAUGCGUUGAUUACUGUGUAUCAACAUUAGAAAUUUUUGUAAGCAGCCUAGUAGAAAUGUUCCAAGUAAAUGCUGCAACUGCCACACGUAAACAUUGUACUUAGACCAGUUGGCUUCGCUCUCAAGUUAUAAUCUUUGAAGAAACAUCAGUGGCUGUUUAUAGCAUCUGUAGUUGAUGAAGUACAACAAUCACAUAUACCUCCAGCCACAGGUAAACAGCACAAGAGCUAAGAUUGCGAUGCAGUAGGCUGCUACUUGAACCACAUCCACUACUUACAUUCAUAACUGCAACCGUCAAUGUAAUUUUUUAUUUUUUAUUUUUUGGGUGAGACAGAAGCACAGAAUGGAGAUGAUGUAGAAUUGAUUCAAAAUUCUUGAAGUGUUACAAGUUUUGAGUUACAUAUCCAUAAUUAUUGGAUGUUAAGACAGCAAAGCUUUUCCUGUUUAUUUAUACAUCUUGAGAAGUAAAGUUGCCAUAUCUCAUUUGCACCUCUACCUGAAUUUGUUUUGUCUUUCUUGCUGCUCAAUGUUUUCACAUCUUGUGUAAGGGAUAGUAAAGCUUAUUUGCAAGUCCAUGUCAUGUGGGAAAAGGUGUAUCCAUUUUAUGCAGAGAGAAUAUCGCUUCACAUGUGGUUGAACUUCUUACAGAGGCUACAAUUCAGGCAAGUGUUUACAUAAAAUAAAAGUGUAAAUACAGUACAUUAUCAAGUCCACAGAAGGAAUCCAUUUAUAAUAUGAAAAUAACUGUUAUUUUUGCUGCCAUCAGCUACAAAAUGACAACUAGUAUUCUCUUUCCUCUCUACUUCACUUCAGCGAUAUUCAGCGUAUGAAUGUGGUCUUGAUUUUUGUCUCUUCUAGAACUCUUUUAUGAAAUUUGUAUUUCUACUACUUCAUUCAUCAUUGUACUGCAAAGCUUUUCCAAUCCAAAUUUCAUGGGUUUGCUGUGGCAUCUACCUCCAUUUGAUGAUUUCCGUCAUUGUUGCCGGCAGCAACCAUGGCCCUCCUCUUCCUUCUAGAUCUGGACCUUCUGCUCCUAUGUCUCUUGCUUGAUUCUUUUCUUUCCUCAUUAUUUGUGGAUGUGCUGGGGCUUAUAUCUGCAGGAUUGUCAACAGGUUCUGCUACUUGCAUUUUGUUCUUGUUGGCUUCACUCAAGCUUUCUUCUGAGCUCAUACCCUCAGGAUUUUUUUCUUUCUCUGCUUCUUUAACAACUACAUUACCAUCUUCAUUCUCCAGCAGUUUACUAUCUCUGCUGUGAUUACUGGCCUCGCCUUGAGGGUUCUCCACCUGUUUUGCACCAUCCGGUUCUUCUUUGCUGGCUUCCUGACUAUCUUCUUGGUUUUGGCUCCCCUGAGGAAGCUCAGAUUUAUCUGAAUGAUUUCCCUCUGGAGCAUCAUCUGACUGUUCAUUGGCAUCAUCUUUAUUCUCUUGUAGCUGACCAUCUUCCAUGUUAGUUGUUAACUUUAAGAACUGCUCUUGUGAGGAAUUAUUGUCUUGAUCAUUGCUCUCUGAUUCAGUGGUGUUGUAGGAAUUUUGUUCUUCUGCUGUAGCAGGUACAGAAUCAUUGGUGUUUUCAGAUUUGUCAGGUACCACAGCGUCAGAAGUGGCAUUUUGAUUGUUUGCUCCCUCAUCCUGCUUGCUGUUCUCUGAUGCAUUAGUGAUACUGGAAUUUUCUUCUUCUGCUGAAGUAGGCAUGGGGUCACCAGAGUUUUCUGGUUUGUCAAGUGUCGUUGUGUCUGAAGUUGCAUUUUCAUUAUUUGCUCCCACAACAGUGCUUUCAUCCUGGUGGCUGCUCUCUGAUGCAGUAGUGCUGUUGAAAUUCUUAUCUGCUGUAGCAGGUAUGGAAUCACUGGAAUUUUCAGAUUUGUCAAGCUCAGCUUCUUUUUGCUGCAGGAGUUCCUUUAUAGUUGGUGUCUGAUCAGGGUUGGAAGCAGCUGCAUUCUCUUUCAUUUGGUUGAUAUGGCUCUCUUUCUCCACAAGAGCUGCUUCUAAUUCUUUCUGGGUGUUGGUAAGAUAUGUGGUGGUAGUUUCUGAAUCCAUGAGCUUGUUUUUCAGUUCUGUCCUCUCAAUACUUAGGACAGAUGUUUUGGCUUCCAGUUCGUCCACUUUCUUUCUCAUCUCUUUAUUAAUUUCCUUUUCUUUCUGUCAUAAAGAAGAUAGCAGUAUUUAGCUGAUGGGAUAUUCUUGAAUGGCAGGCUGGAUAAAUAAUUCAUAGAAGUAUAGAACACACAACAGAAAACACGCAUUGAAGGCUCUAAAUCUGCUGCAGCUAUGGCAGACCAUCAUCUCAGUAUUAUCUAUUUGCAGAACAAGAGGGUGUUCAAUUGAGUAUACCAAUCUAUUUGGCUACUAGCAUUUUGAAACUAAAUUGUGACGUGACGCCUCCAGCUAUAAGUAUGUCUGCAAAAUGGUGUCAAUAUUGAAGUCUUCUCAGGGGUGAUUUAUAUGGACUAAUUUAUGAACGCACGGCUCUAGAUUGGAUAGCUAUAAGGUUUUGCAGAGUGUAAUACUGCGGUUUUUGUUGUAUCCAUACUUCUACCAGGGCCCUGUUUAGAAUCUUUCUCCUCCUGUGGAAAUUGUAAUGUUUCCAUUCGAUCCCUGCAAAAUUUGUGUCUACAUACACCCUAAAUUGGCACUGUGAUGGCUCAAUCAUGACAAUACUGAAUGCAAAUAGAAUUGUACUUUCCAUGAGAUUGUACUAUUUCUUAUAUUUUACCUACUGGUAAAUAAAAUGCCCUAAUUUAAGCAGUAUAGGCAAUUCACAAGUUAUCGUGGGAUCUUGACUUUUGAACUAUUAUGCACUGAUGUGUUUUAAUCUGUUUGAUGAUGAAAAGGGGAAUUGAUGAUGUGGUAUUCAAAUGACUCAUUUUUUUAACACAAGUUAAGCUACAAACAAUUAAUCAUGUACACUAUCCUUAGUUUAGUGGCCACAUGUAAUGCAGAGAUCUGAAGGGGCCUGAAAUUAUUUGAAUACUUGGUAGUCCAGGACCCUUGUUUGAUCAAGGAAUCUCAAUAAUCUAAGGGCCAAAUAUUCAUCUACAGUGCUCCGAAUCUUUACUUGACGACACAAUAUUCCCUAUCAUGUAUCCAUGGUAUCAACAUUUCAGUAGGAGGCGCAAGUAUGUUCUUUCAGAACUUCAAAUGGAUAUCCUGAGCAUCAAUGUUUUUGUUACAGGUUGCAAAUCGGUGAGUGAAAGGAGUAACACAACAGCUUGCUUAAGAGUACUUAAUAGUUGAUAGUCCAGGUUAUAAAAUCAGAGCAUUCGUAAUCGACUGGCGGAGUCAGCCGGCAAAUGCAAGAAAAACAGGCAAGCAGCAGCCACUUAUUAGAAAGACGAUUUCUGAAUUUGUGAUGCAUGCAAACUUUUUUCUGGAACACAGAUGCAUGCAACUCAUACAGUCAGUCAUAUCCAUACCUCGAGGAGGACUUGGAAGGACACGAGCUGCUGGUCGCGUUCCUGGAGGAGGACGGCGAGGACGCGGCGCUCCCUCAUCUUGUGCAGGAUGCCGACGCUCACCGCUGCGGCGCCGAUCGCCAGCAGCACGAGCAGCAGGUACGGGGGCAACUUCUUGGUGGUGGUGUUGUUGCCCAUUGUGUGGCCUCUCGAUCUGUACUUGCUUGCUUCCAUCUCCUCUCUGCACGCACCCUCUUAUUGGCACCCUUGCAGGAUCUGCUGUUUACUGCAGGAUGGGACAACUGCUGUGGCAGCAGUGUGAAGAAACUGGAGCUUCCUUUUCUUAGUUGCUUCGAUUCUGGAAAGGGAAGUGAACUUGCUUAGGAAUGGAGGAACGAGACACUAGGAAGCUCAAAGUCUGAGGGCUAGGGUACAUUGUGUAUGCUUCACUUGCUCCAAGGUGAUGCACAUGCUUCAUUUUACUAGUUGAUUUGUUUGAGCCUUAGAGAGGUAUAAAGCCUGGCUCUCUUUGACUUUUGCUGGUUAUCGUGAGACGUAGGCAAUAUUAACUACGAUGCUUACAUUUGCUUCUUGAUCUCACAUUAAAGGCAUCUUUGAUCACUAGUUUAUUCGCAGAGACAAGCCACAGCUUUGCCGUGAAGUCUAUCGAACCCUGCACUCCAUGGGCUUAUUUGGAUGCGCUCGCGAGCCAGCCAGCUUUCUCAGGAUGAUCAUAAGCAAACAAGCCCUAAGCGCUCUGCGUUACCGGAAGAAGAUACUCUUGGAAGUUCCAUACUGAUACUUUCCCUAAGGAAUUGAGGCGGUUUACCAUCAAACUUUUCAAAAAUUAGUCACUAACAAUUGGACUUCAUGACAUGUAAAUGGAUAAGGAUCACUACUGUUCAGGUGAGCUGCGUGCAUAAAUGUUACGCUGUUACUGAAGAACUAUCACAAUUCAUGCACAUAGCUAAUUGGCUCAGCAAGAUACAAUCAAAAACAGCCCUCCAAACCGACAAGAAUUCACACAGAGGUAAAAUAAUGAUGAUUAACUAUCAAAGUUAAAUCAUAGAGCUAACACUCCCAAAAGCUAAGUGCCUAGAAAAAAAAUUAUCCCAAUUCUUUUAACAGUGUGUACUUCCCCAGAACACAUCGUAGGUAUCAAUAAGUAUGAACUAUAAAGGGGACAGAACCGUGUACUUGAACACUACAAACAUAGAAAGCAAAUCUAAUAUCAUAGCAUGAUCAAUGAGUAUGCGAUAAACUCAUCCACAACUGUGAGUUUAACACAUCAGGUUACCAUUUUAACCAGUGGGCAAAAAAUGCUUCUGCCAAAAUGAGGUGGAAGAAAAAUUGAAAGGAAGUUUCUCACAAGGGCCUACUGCAUGCUUAAACACGCUCUCUUUUCCCUUCUACUUCUUCCAAAAUCAAAUAUCAAGAAUCAAUAUGUAAGAUAAGAUGUGCUGCUACAGUACUACAUGCCUACAUCACUAUAAGCUGAGAAGAAGUUUUCAGCUAAGAGUUCCAUCGACUGUGUUCUCCAAAUGCCCACUUGAAUCAAUAUUAUUUGAGUAUUUUUCUGGACCUAAAUAGCUGAAAUUAGAUCAUCCAAUGAUCUACAUAUAUGAUGAAGUCGAUGCAAGUCUUCAAACAUUGGAGCAGCUCUAAAAAAUCGAUGCAAAGAAUAGUGAUCAGUACAGUGAGGAGUGCAUGCAAAAUGACCUAGUCCAGUAGUCCCUAUAAAUGUCGAGGUUAGAACAUUGUUACCCUGUUACUUUAAGAGGCCUACCAAACACACAAGUCAAAUUUAUUCAAGUAAGGAACUAAGAUAUCAAACAGUACUAAGAAGUUACAACAAGAACAAAGAACUAGAUGACUAACUGCUUCACAGCCGAUUCAUAUGGAGUCAAACUGCCUGAAACGAAACAUUAAUUGAUGGUUCCAUGCUUAAACGCACAUCACUGAACAUUCACAUCCUAAACACACGAGGAGACAAGCCUUCAUCCUCCCAAUCCAACACGAAGGUAAUCGGAUCUCAGCAUAUACAUCCUUCCCUCUCAUGCACCCUGAAAAAUAGACCAUAGAUUCACCAUUAAAUACAUUUCUUUAGAAAUGUAUAGGCACUCCUAGCAUAGUGUUUGCAUUCAGUUUUUGGACCAAAAGACAAACAGAUGGAGGCAGAGGAAUGCUGCCGGGCAUCACAACUCAGGAAAAAAGCAUUGGCGCCUCAUCUGAAUAUGAUGCAAAAACUGCUGUUUAAAUUUCGUCGCUAGCAAAAGGUGCUUCCAAGGUAGCAUUUUCCUGGGUCGUCACUCUAUCUUCCACAUCAACGAAAUUGCUACUUAUACUAAUAUCAGGUGUACAUUCAAAUUUCAAGAGCUCUUUACAGUAGUCUGUAGCUAUAGUAAGGAUGUCUUGUGUUAUGUACAGCCCCUCGGGGCCUUCCAUAACAUGGAUGGUUCUUCACCAUUAUAUACAUAUAAACUCAAAAGGGAAAAUUAAGGAGAAAAACAUGUAUUCACACAAAUUCAUACUAAUCAGACAUUAUGUAACAUAAAAGCAAUUCCACUUGCCAGCUAUAGCACAAUGGACUUACAUUAAAAUGAAGAUGCAUGGCCAGAGUUAAUUAACUCUGGCGGUUGUAAAACUCCAGUUGUUCAUUCAACCUGAAUAUUGAAAUGUACCACAAAUUCCUAUAGCAAUAGAGGUUAUACACUAGAAUAAGAAACAAAAAUUACCAUCGUAGCAGCUCAUCAUAGGUCUCAUCGUCAUACUCUUCGUGGAAAUCAUCCAAGGAAAGUGAAAUCCUUUCCAUUAUCACAGGAAGUACAUCGCCAAGAAAAUGAGAAUUAAUCAACAGAAGUUCAGACAAGCUUCCCAACUGCUGGUUGCCCCAUUCAUCCUUCAAAUGAAAUCAACAGUGAGCAUUAUGGUACAGUACAGAAGAAAUGGAAACAGCACUGUCCAGCUAGCUUUAAGAGAGAAAAAUUCAAGGACCGGCUUCUCACCAUGGAGGCUUUUGUACCAUGAUACCUCGAAUGGCGCUGGAUUUUCAAUCCAUCUCCAGCGGUUCCAUCAAAGGGCAACAUACUUUUGUCUUCAGGGUUACCUUCACCAGCAAUGUUCUCUCCAAAACAAGGUUCAUUGUCUUUGUGGAUUCCUGCAGCUACUUCACUGGGAUUAUUUUCACUGAUAUCUUGCAUCUUCUUCUUUGCAUGUUCCCAAACAGAAGUAAGCACUGGAGGAACAACACUGUUAUCAACUAGGUAGCGCUCAUCCAUAAAUAUUUUGCGCCAGUCAGAAAAAGGAUUGGGAACAUUAAUGACAGAUUCCAGCAAUUUUUUGGCCCUCCAACUCACGGAUUGAUUUACUGAAUAAAUCCCAUCAAUGAGUGCCAGAUUUGCCAAUGCUGAUUUCAAUGCCGGAUGAGAUGCAAUGAAGUUGCAGAAUUCUCGCAGCUUUGUCAUGCUAUAUUUGGAAGAGAAUACUCUGAGUGAGGAAUCCAGAUGCAUAAAAAAUACUGGCAGUUUACCAUCAAACACAUAUUUAGAUAUUACAUUAGUGGCGCCCCUAGUCAGAUCAUUCUGAAUUGUGUUGAUUGUUGUUCUCUCACAGUAUGGACGGGCAAUUUCAACUUCCAGUUUGCGAUUGACUAAGACAUCAGGAAGACCCCAUUCUCCAUUCCAACUUCUACCAUCACAGAAAGCAUCAGACAUCGUACUGAAUAAAUUUGCUAAUACAAUCCGCCCAAUUAGGGUGCUCUCAGGUAUCAUCAAAUGGAUGCCACCACAGAAAAUGUCAAUGGGGUCAUAUGGAUGGUUACCCUCUAGAGCAAAAAAGGAUUCCAAUGCCAUCCAACUGCAAAUAUAGUAUAUUGUUAACUAUAUGUUAAGAUGAACAUAGUCAAUACUGGAUUCCUGCAAAAAAGGAUUCCAAUGCCAUCCACAGGUAAUGCUUCUUCAAUGAAAAGAAGAGUACAAUCCUACCUGUUUGGCUCUAGAAGAUCAUAAAUGAUCACAACUGGAUUUUCACAGGAACAAUUCAGGUCCGCCUUCAGAUCCUCAAUAAAAAUGCGUGCAGCGUUAUUAAGAUUACUUUGAAUCCUGCAAGAAAUAUAGGAAAUUAAAAUAUAUUGGCAAAGACGGAUCUAUCAGUCAGACUUGACUAUGAAAAACGGAAAAAUACCUAUCAAAACAGUUGCAUAACAAUGUCGCAAGUGGACCAUUAGAAGAUAACACAUGUGCAAAUCGAACAAUCAUCUGUUGAGAAUCCAGCUCCUUCAUAGCCAUGACGGCUGUCUUAUAAAACUGCUUGCCAUUUACUGUGUAUCUGCUUAAAAAUGGGUCAGAUGUAAAUUCAUUUGGUAUCAUAAGCCUAAAAAAAUAAGACAGGUUGAAACUGACUCUCUUAGGAAUUUAAGGAAUUCCGGUUCCAAUUCUUCAUCUCGUUGCUGAGUGAAAAAGGCGGCAAAUUUGGCUUUCACAUGGUCAAAUGUGGGAGCCCUGGUAGCAUUAGACCUGGCAGACGAGCUUUGCGUAGCAUUUGAACUACUACCACUUUGCGCCACUGAGCUGGGAAGCUGUCUGGCAGAUUUCAAAUCUAGCCUCUAGAAUAAAAGAAAAAAAGGAGAGAAAGCAUUUGAUGAGUUACACUGUGACAGCACUAUGAUUCAAGUGUAACUCAACACCGCGAUGAGAACAGAACUUACUAAAAAAUUGUAAAAGCAUCACAUGAGCUACACUCUUACAGCGCUAUGCAUAAGUCUACUCAACACUAUGAUGAGAAGAACUUACUUCAAAGAAAUGUAAAAGCAUCAUAUGAGCUACACUGUUACAGCGCUAUGCAUAAAGUCUACUCAACACUAUGAUUAGAAGAACUCACUUCAAAACAGCAAAUCUACUAGAGUGAACCAAAUUGUAUAAAGGAGUAGCAGGAACAUAUACAUCAAAGUUAAAUAAUUCUUUUGUGUGUGAGAGCUCUGGUGUAAAUGUGUUAUCAGUGUUACUUCUAUUAUGAGAAUAUUUUUAUUUGAUAGGUUGUGUACCAUACCUGUGAGGCAAGCGUGUAAAUGAUAAUACAGCUUUAUGAUUAUUAACUGUGUAAAGAUGAUUGCAGUAGAAACCAAUUAGAAAGAACAUAUGAAUCACAUGUUAUAACACAUAUACCUAUCUGAAUCCACUAAUCAGAACUCAUGUAACCAUGGGUACCAUAGAACAGGGAUCAUGUAUUUCGAGUUAGGGCAUAGAAAAUGCACCAACAUGUUGCACAUUACUCUAUAAAUAAAUUGUUAGCCUAAUCAUCUAUACUUUCGAUUUAAAAAUAAAAUUUUAUAUGGUAGUCCACUGAUGUCUUUAGAAAUAUAGCUAGUUCUAUUUGUUAUGCAGAAGUACAGGUAUCUUUGCAGUGGCAAUUAGAGGUAAGGUCAGAAAGUACCUUUGUUAUGUGAAAGUACUCUGCACUUUGUAGUUAAAAUAGUUUGCGGUGAGAGAUCUGAUCCAAGAUUCUUUUGUUGCAACAAUCAAGAUUUCUGUUCCAAACAUUGUUAGGGUUGCAGCCGCGUUGUGCCACCUCGGCCAAAUUGGCAAAAAUAAUGUCCAGCUCAGCAUUAGAGUGGCAAAUCUGAAGAUGUGUUCGUAAGGAUGGUUUUUGAAUGUUUGACUCUAGGAAUGAUGGCGAAUAGUUAAAUAGCCCUCCUCCUUGAGCUCCCCUCACCUCAGCCUCACGGCGGAGCCUUGCAAGGCGGGCGUGGCGACGAGAGGAUAGCACCCACCCUCCUCUCCACCCCAAGCACACAUGCUUCGCCGCCGUUGGUAAAAAUUAUCUAUUCUAUACAAUAAAAGUUGAAACAAUUAAAAUUUUUUUCACCAAGAUUAGACCCAGCGUCCAUCUACCAGCCCAAAGAUUUGACGAAAGGGGGGUGGAGACCCACGAAAUUGAAAGAAGAAAAAUGUUUCCACCUAAAAGCUAAAACUUUUUUCACCGAAAUCUUCUACGUACCCACCCGGUGUACCUACCGUACAAAGCACCCUCGCACGCACAAUUAAGAGAGAAAAUUAAUCCCCACAUAUUUCUUUUCUUAUACACCCUCUCCCGCCUAUUUUCUCACCGAAGCACCUUCUACCCGCCCACCGUACCAGCCCUUGAUUACUGCGUGUAGUGUUUUAGGAAAGCAAACAUUCAACCAGGGAAGAAAUUUGAUAUUUCCUCGCCCCGUUGCCUUCUUUGGCGUUGCGUACGGCAGAAUCGCCAUGCCCUCUUUCCCUUCCUCGGCCGCUAGAGUCACCGUGCCCAUCGCCAGGCAUCCUUUCCAUUGCCUUCCUCGGCAUUGCGGACGUCAGAAUCGCCGUGGCCUCCUUCCCCUCGUCAGCGGCCACAGUCACCGUGCCCCGCCCGCGAUGACACUGUCAUCCUCUUCGGCCGCGGGUGUGGCGGCGGCCACCGGGGGAACCGCUUCGGUAAGCUGGAGGGCCGUCGCGCUCGCCCCCUCUUAUCCAGCUACGCCGCUCCUUGCUCAGGGUCCGACGCCUCCGCUCCCCGGGCCGCCCUUCCCAGUCCGCGACACCAGUCCACCGUGUCCCCAACGGCUUUGUCUGUCCCUUCUUCAUCUGCAGCAUCGGGCUCCUACCAUUCGGGUCCGUGGGAGGACGACGGAGGGCGGGUCGGGUUCCAAUGCUACGACCCUCGGUGGAUUGGACAUCUUCAUCUACCGUGCCGGCGGCGGGGAGGAGGCGCCGUGGUUGCGCCGGCUGACCUGCGAGGACUACAACAACUGCUUUUACUUCAACGUUGGUCUCCUCCGGCGGCUCGGCGACGACAUCGCCGACGAUGACCAUAUCUAUGUAGUCUCACUCUCCCGGCUCCCGCACGAGGGUGCCAUGGCAGUUGGACCUGCACCUCUUCCACCUCUUCGACUCGAAUACUGAAGCAUGAAGCUGCAGCAUUGUGUCGCCGGGUCGAGAACACCAAGACACUCCAAAUGAUGUUGCAUUUUGAGAUGCUCUCUGUCUCUGUAACGACCCCUUGCCGCCGGCAAGGAUCCGGGACGUGAGCAAUCACAGAGAGAGAUCAGAGGUAACGGAGACAGAGAAGAGAACCAUGAACCCCGAGCUUCUCUUCUUCAGAAUGUUCAUAGUCCGACAACCCAAGGGAACUCGGCCUAUAUGCACGAGCCUAGACACUGACAUACCGGGUCUGACUUAAAUCACACAUCGAUGGCGUACUGUAGAGUUCCCGCGUUCUGCAUUACAGUCUCUAAGCGCUGCAGCCUGCAGGGUAAUGACGAUGGCACCCAUCUCCUCAGGAGCGUGGAGACGCUCCACAUUGGUCAUCCCAUUCCCAGGCUCAGCUUGAACGAAGGCGAUGUUGUCUAUACCUCAUGGCCAAGGUUGGGCCACGGGACAAAAAGGCAUGUGUGCUCGCUGUUGACUUCAAGAACAAGAGGCUACAAUAUGUGGGCGUAUUUCGUGCAGAUAAAUCACUUUCCGAUACUCAGGGCUGCAUGAACAGUAGUAUGUCCAAGUACUUUAUUUUUUGUUACAACACUAGGAAAUUACUAUUCCUAAGCAGCGUUUGCAUGUAUCUAUCUCUGAUUGCAUUUACAAUUACUUUCUUGGCCUACAUUUUUGUAGAAAGGGGGGUAAAAGAGUAUCUUGUUACAUAUUUUGCUUCAUGGCCAAUGUCUAGAAAAAAGGGAAAAUUGCAUAUUUGCCACUAUUUUGACCUCCUAACUGGAAUCUGCCAUUAAAAAACGUAGAAUUUCAAAAUUGCCACUCGACCGUCCAAGUAUCUAUUUCAUCUACCACUGCUUCCCCUCAAGAUCAUCCAACAUGGUUCCAAGUUCCAAAGCCAUGAAUUCCACCUGAUAUUGUGCAGAUCCGUUGACACCAAUACAUGACAACAUUAAGAUGUAGAAAUAGUGGAAACUAAAGAAGAACAGAAGGUAAGCUCGAAUUAACAAGUAAUGAAGAUUACCUGGUGGUAUCAGUUCCAUCAUAUUGAGUUUCAAGUAACCAAGCAUAGUUAGAGAAAAGAGCCUGCCCAUUCCAGGAACGUGACACCACACAGUUAUAUGACCUUCAGAACUUCAGUGAGGACAAGCGCCCAUUGUGUCCAAUGUGUUCCUCCCUGCGGCAGUACGUUUCAAGGGUGAUAGCCAGUAUAAGAUAGGAGAAAAGCUUUUAUUUGGUGUCUCAGGGCUAAGAUUCUCAGCAUCAGAUUAAUUACUAACUGGAACCACUUGUGCGCAUACCAUAGCAAAUAAGAGAUUAAACACGACGCAAGGACCCUGAGUAAAAGUUAAAUCAGGAUCUCAGCUUACCUGGCAGAAGACGGCAUAUGGAUCUCUCAAGGGCCCAUCACAUGAUAGUUCACUUGUGCUUCCAUCUAUGAAUGUCCCGUCGGCAAAAAUGACCUGAUUUCAGAGGGUUAAUCACUUUAGUUGUUUCGUUUAACAGGGCAGCAUUUAAUGUUGGAACAAGUCUGUCUUUCAUCAGAAAAUAAAUUUACGAAAUAAACUUUAUGUACAUUGUAAUACAAAUGAUAGCAGGAAGGUAAGAGCGAUGCAAUGAUGAAAGGUAUAGAAAGUUACAAACACACCUCUGAAGCAUAGCCAGGAGUUUCCCCAGCAGUUGGUUUAACAAAUGACCCUACUGGGCAAGUUUGUUGCACCACUUCACAGAAUGCUAUGAGUCUCUCCCUGUUGCCAAGUUCCACUGCCUGUGAUUUUAUUUUCAAGUCUUCAUUAUUUAUUGACCUUAAAAUUCUUGAAUACUUGCUAUCGCUGAAAUGCGCAAUAUGCAAUGUUGUAAAGAGGGUUGGCCUUCUGUUUAACCUGCACAAUAUCAUGGCGAGGAACCCUUGGAAGUGGUUGAACUCUGUAGCCCUUGGCUGACAUGACUUCCGCAAUUAGCAAACCUCCCUAUGGAUCAUACUAUAUCAUCAAUUGCGUAUAUAGUAUCGUCACAGAUGUGAGAAUUAAGAACCUACUUUUAUUGCUUCUCCAACCAUUUGUGGAGCAAGAAACAAGCCUUGGAAAAGCGAACGCAUAACAUGGCCAGGUAUUGAUCCAAAUUCUACCCCAAGGCCAGGUGCAGAUAGGCGAGCAGCAGCUGCUUCAACUAAAUUUCUCUUCCCAGCAACAUAACCACCACAAGGCGCAAUAGUUCCACCCGGAUUCUUUAUCAAACUACCAGCAAUCAAGUCUGCUCCCUGCCAUGAAAACACACAAUGAAUAGAGGUAGAGCUAACCUUCAUGAGAUGGUGAUAAUCAAGGACAUACCACCAUUGCAGGUUCGGAUGUCUCAACAAAUUCACCAUAGCAAUUGUCAACCAUCACCAUGCAGUUUGGGUUUUGCAACUGCAGAGAUCCAAACGAUGAAAACCAUCAGCACACAAAAGCUAAUAUAGGUACAGAAGGUUGCUGGGCCCCAGACAGGAAGUUAUCUUGCCUUGAUCAAACUUAUAGCUCUGUGAAUAUCAGCUACACUUAAGCUCUUGCGCCAAGAGUACCCACAAGAUCUCUGAAUGAAGGCACAUCCAGUUUCUGGUCUGAUGGCGCAAGCAAGGGCUUCCCAAUCAAGGCCACCGUCUGCUGCGAGCUACAACAGAAGAAUCAUCAUUAACCUAUCCUCAGCACGAGGCAACACAGUCAACCAUUUAAAUCUAUUCUAAGGGAGAUAUCGACAGACCAGAACUUCUCGGUACGCCACUCCAAAGUCUUUGAGUGAUCCUACAUUGGCCGACCCCCUGAUGCCAAUCACCUCCUCUAAGGUGUCGUACGGAGGACCAGAGACUGCCAGGAGCUGCAGGAAUUCAUCAUUUAUCAAUCUGAAAAAUCUAUCAGAAUCAGGUGCAAAGACUUGUGCAUUCAGUUCAAUUCGUCCCUUACCUCAUGCCCAGGCCUCAGAAGCGCAAAUAGCGCACAGGCAAUGGCGUGCGUGCCGGAGAAGAACUGGCACCGAUGGAGGAAUUAUUACAUCAGAGAGUAGCUCGGUCAAACAGACGUAAGCAACGAAUGGAGCGAAACGAGACAAUGUUGUGUGUCAAAGGUGGAACCUGUGGGCGCACAAUGGCGGUCUCGGCGCCGACGAUUUCGGCGAAUACGGCGUCCAGCGCCUCCCGGCCGCCGCCGUCGUCGUGGCCAUACCCCGUCGACCCGCCGAAAUGCUGAAACAAACGCGCGUUUACUAGCGGAGUGAGCUCGGAUGCCAGGCAGAGCAGCCGUAGAGGAGUAACGAGUGGGUUACGUGCGGGGCGACGCGGGCGCGGCGGAAGGCAGCGGCGACGCGGGAGGAGUUGAGGGCGAGGGCGCGGUCGACGGCGCGGAACUCCGCCUGCAGCGACUCCGCCGCGCGGGACACGUCCGGGUGGAACGCCACGUCAGACGCCCCGGCCGCGACCGCGGGCGCGUACGCGCGACACCGGCGGACGCGCAGGGCGGCAGAGGCGCGAGGCCGCGCCCACGCGAGGGGGGUCGAGCAGCAGCCGCCGGUGGUCGUCAUCGCCGCGGCCGCAGCAAGCUAGUGAACCAACCAACCUCCCGGCCGCCGGCGAGGUUCGCUCUGGCGGAUUAUCCUUGCGGUCGCUUCGCUCGUGUAGUCGUGUGCGGUGGGUUGCCGAUUGAAAUGGGCCCAUCACGCGCGGAUCUGGAUGGGCCUGGCUCCGUCCUCUAGGCCCAUUUGAUCAACAGCUUAGGCCCGGCCCAGCACUCUUUGCGUGGGCGUGCACGUUUGCAAGGCCACGCCCACCCACCGAAAUGGCAACGCUUGCAGCAUCAGGCACCGGCCGGCUCCAUCGUCCCGUCCUUGUUGCUUAUCUCGGGAUGCCAAGCCAAAGCAGUGGUAGCUAGCAGCCUUAGAGAGAGAGAUGAGAAGAGAGAGAGAGAGAGACCAAGAAGAAGAUGACGCAACCUGAGCAUUAGCCUCGCCGAAAAAGGAGUCGCAGUCACCACCGGCCAGUCAGCAACUGGGGGAACCAAUGGAGCUAAGAGAAGCAACAUGAGCAUGGUGAGGAAGAGGACCAGCCUGAACUGAAGAAGAAGCACGCACGAUGCUUGCACGCAACCAAGCCCAUCGCCUUACCUUCCCCUUCCGCCGGCUAUAUUACUCGAUCUCCGCAGGCGCUGCUGUGGCAUUCGCUCAUACAUCUCAAGCUACUGUGCGAGUGACGCCAUCGAUCGGGUACAAACAAUGGCCUCUGGCGGCAAGGGCCUGUUGACCGGUUCGUUCCUGCGAGCGGCGGCGCUCGGGCUGGUUGUCCUGGCGUCGGCGGCGCCGGUGGCUCGGUCGUGGAGCAAGGAGGGGCACAUGCUGACAUGCCAAAUCGCGCAGGUGAAUCGGAUCAUUUCUCAUGUUAAGUGCAGGCGGCGAUGGCUGGAAGUCUGAAACGGGAUGUUGCGUUGCAGGAUCUGCUGGAGCCUGACGCCGCGCACGCCGUGAGGAACCUGCUCCCGGAGGACGUGGGCGGCGACCUGUCGGCGCUGUGCGUGUGGCCGGACCAGGUCAGGCACUGGUACAAGUACACGUGGAGCGGCCCGCUCCACUUCAUCGACACCCCUGACAAGGCCUGCACCUUCGACUACGCAAGUAAGUUUUCCCAAGCAGUGCAGUUCGAUGGCGCUGAUUGGCCAUCGUGUCUCUCUGUUUCUUUUGUGAUGAAAUGCAAUGGAAUGGUAAGCGGUGAGCAGGGGACUGCCACGGCCCCGAUGGCGCCAAGGACAUGUGCGUCGCCGGCGCCAUCGCCAACUUCACGUCCCAGCUGCUCCACUACAAGCACGGCAGCGCCGACCGGAAGUGUAAGCAGAGCAGGAUGUUUAGUUGUGUACCUCAACCAAUGGUUCUGUAUCUUUACGUGUUCCAACCACUUUCUGAUUGCAAUGCAGACAACUUGACCGAAGCCCUUCUGUUCCUGUCACACUUCAUGGGAGAUGUUCAUCAGGUAAUCCGGCCUGCUACUUCUUUCUUUCUUUCUUUCUUCCUUCCUUCCUUCCUUCCUUCCUUCCUUCCUUUCCAUUCACGGUCCAGUCACCUUAGCAUGAAUCCCAUGUCAUGCUUAACUCGUAGUCCAUUGCCAGUAGAUCAUGGAGCCCAUCAAGUGGCUAAUUUCCUGUGUGCUUGCAGCCGAUGCAUGUGGGGUUCACGAGCGACCAAGGCGGUAAUUCCAUAGACCUGCGGUGGUUCAGGCACAAAUCCAACCUCCAUCACGUACGUAACGAACGCCCACGAUCCUUGCUUGCUUGCACAGAUGACACAUUCCGAUCCGCACUGGUGAAAUCUUUGUUGGUCGUUUUCAGGUGUGGGACAGGGAGAUCAUACAGACAGCUCUCGCUGAAUUCUACGACAAGGACAUGGGCACCUUCCGGAAGCAGCUUGAGCACAACCUUACCAAGGUAAGUGAAGACGAUCCAGUGCUGACUAAGGAACUCUUUCAAGCCAAGAAACAGAACUAUAUCUCUCGAUGUGUUCUUCAGGGUACCUGGUCUGACGAUGUAACAUCUUGGGGAGACUGCGAGGACCUUCUGUCGUGCCCAACCAAGUUAGUAUUCUGAAUCCUGAAAUCUCACUCUGCAAGUAUAGAAGCUAUUACGAAGUAGACAUUUUUUUUCACCGCUUGUACUGUUUGCAUUGCAUGUGGAUAACAUCAACGUGCUUCUUGAUACAACAGGUACGCCACGGAGAGCAUAAGCUUGGCGUGCAAGUGGGCCUACAGCGGCGUCCAUGAAGGGGAAACCCUAUCCGGUAAGUUCGUGCAAAGGAUGACUCUGCGGAUCUCUGAACCGAAACAGCUGCUGAUAGAUGCUGAUGAAACUGUGCAAUGGCGGCACCAUUUGCAGAUGACUACUUCGGUUCGAGGCUGCCGAUCGUGUCGCGGCGGAUCGCGCAGGGGGGAGUGAGGCUGGCCAUGUUCCUCAACCGGAUCUUCGGCCAGCACAACCGCGACGUGGCGGCGCCAUCCUGACCGACGCCGGCGGCUGCAAUUUACUUAGAAUCUGAAGCCACACGCCCAUACUCUGUAAUCUGACGGCUCUCCUGCAUCUAAUAUAUGCUAAUAAUCCCGUGUUACGUGACGUGCAGUGUAUUUGAUUUGUGAUAGACUAGCAGCUUCUGCAGGAUGAUUGAUCUUAUGUAUAUGAUGAACAACAAAUCUGAACGAGAGUACAGAGAUCCUCUUAAUAAAAUACGUGCUCAGGCAGGAUCGCGAAAAACAAUUCUGAAAGAGACGCAUAUCCGAUCCAAUGGUAGUUGAUACAUGCACACGGCUAUGGACGACGGUGUAUGCAGUGAUUUUUUUUUUUCGAGACGACGGUGUAGUGUUGCAGUACAGAGUGCAGUGCAGACCAUAGACCAAGUAGGAGGAGGUUGGAGACGAAAAAACGCAUGUACUAGGCGCUAGCUAGCUGUUGGAUCGGCCACUGAUCACGGCGCGGUUUGCGGCGAGGCCAAUCUAAUCCAGGCCAGCGCAUCGAGCUCUCGGCUCGAUCUGCCGUGUUCCAUCACCUUCCAUCUUCCAAUUCGGCUGGCACGAACAGGUAGUAGCAGAAGCGUCGUCUAUCUGAGUCGGCUUCGUCUGCGGGCCCCGACCUGAACGGUCACGCCCCGACUCCUGAGCUGCUGCUGGCUGACGAGUGACGACGCGCGCGGUGCGUGACGCCCGACGCCCGAGCGCCCGGGUCACGUGGCGGCAGGCGGCCAGCUAGCCGCCUGCGCGGCCGCCGACAGGCCAGGCGAUCGCCGGGCGCCGGCCGGCUGGACGGCCGAGAGACCAGAGGCUAGGUACGCCGUGGUACUCCCACAAACUUCUCACGAAUUUCUCUGGUGCCCGCGCAUUGCGCGGCCGUGGGGUCGUUGCCGAUCCGGCCGCCGGCGCCGGAGCAGAUACUUGCGGAUCGGUGCAUGCCGCUGGCCGCUCUUGCGCCAAUAAUCUCGCCGCAGCGCCAGCCCACUCAAUCUCAAUUUGAUCGAUCGUCGCGUUUCCCGGAUCGUCCGCAGGAGGAGCGAGCGGCGCGCGGAACGGGUGGGUGGUUGAUGGCGGCGGCGACCAAGGUGAUCGGGUCCGAACCAUCGGAAUGCUUCCAGUUCCAAGAGCCCAAUACCUGGUAUUUUUCUGCCCUGUUGUCUCCCUCGUGUUCACUGUUUCUUCUUAUGUUGCGCUCGUAUUCCUGGUUCGAGAUGAUGUACAGUACAGAUGCAAGCAGAUCAGUCGGCUGAUUCGUUCCCGUGUUUUCUCGUCGUAUAUGCAACGCUGUCAUCAGUGUCUUCGAUCUUAAUUACAUCUGCAAGUCAUGGGCUGCACUAAUCUGAUGAAAUCUCUUUUUUUAAGAUUGAAGAUCCUGCUGAAUUUAGUCAAAUAAUUAACUCAUCCGACUUCCACAUUAUUUCAGAGUCAUGUAACAGGGCUAGCAUUUGUGUCUUUUGUGGUCAGAUACUCAGAUUCAAAUGAGAUCCUUGUAUUUUAGAAAAUCUGAGCGAAGUCUUUGAUAACAUGGAAGAUGGAACGAAUGGACUGAUGAACCCUGCAGAAUCUUUGAUACUUUCUCCGCACUUUGACACUAGAAAUCUUGCUGCUGCUGAUAACCACAAUGGCCCCCUUGCAGGAUUUGCAAUACUGAGCUUCAAAGUGAUGUGGUAGUUGAAGUAGGAGAGAUAUCCUUCCAUCUCCACAAGGUACAUGUACAUUUUACCCCUCCCUCUCUUUUCUAGCACAUCAUGCCAAUCAUUUUCCAGUGUUGUAAUAAUGCUUGCUCAAAUAUGGAAAAACCUUGCCGCAUUGUGCUACAUGGCCUGAAUUGCAGAUUUGCAGAUAAUAUGCUAUGCUACAUUCAAAUGUCAGAUAACUUGGAAAUUUUCAGUACGUGCAUUUUCUGCACACCGACAACGUUUAAACACUGUCUGUAUUUUUCUUCUUGUUCAGUCUCCAUUGAUCAGCCGUAGCGGCACGCUGCAAAAGCUGAUCAACGAGGCCACCGGCGAUGACGACGACGAGGACGGCGGCGGCAGCAAACCGUGCAUGGUCCGGCUGGACGACGUCCCCGGCGGCCCUGACGCCUUCCGGCUGGCCGCCAUAUUCUGCUACGACGUCAGGAUGGAGCUGAACGCGGGGAACGUCGUGCCGCUCCGAUGCGCAGCCGAGCACCUAGCCAUGACAGAGGACUACGGCGAGGGGAACCUCGUGGAGCAGGCCGAGGCCUUCCUCUCCCAAGUGCUGGGCACCUGGAACGACGCCGUGUGCGCGCUGCACGCGUGCGACGCCGUGCUCCCUGACGCCGAGGACCUCCUCAUCGUCCCGCGGUGCAUCGACUCGCUGGCGAGCAAGGCCUGCGCCGACCCGACCCUCUUCGGGUGGCCCAUGCUGGAGUACUACACGGCGAAGAGCCUCGAGGAGACGGUGGUCUGGAAUGGCAUCAGCACGACCGGGAAGCCGCGGUCCCUCGGCGCGGACUGGUGGUACAAGCAGGCGUCGUCGUUCAGGCUGCCGGUGUACAAGAGGCUGAUCUCGGCGGUGCGGUCCAAGGGCAUGAGCCCCGAGAACGUCGCCGGCUCGCUGAUGCACUACGCGAGGCGCCACCUCUCCGGGCUCAGGCGGCACGGGGAUAACAGCGACGGCAGCAGCCGCGGCGGGGCGCCGGGGACGACGACGGCCGUGCUCUCGGACGGUGACCAGAGGGCCCUCCUCGAGGAGGUCGUCGCGCUGCUCCCGGCCGAGAAGGGCGUCGCCCCGACGCGUUUCCUGCUCGGCUUGCUCCGCACAGCCACGGUCCUGCACGCCAGCGCGGCGUGCCGGGACGCUCUGGAGAGGAGGGCCGGCAACCAGCUGGAGGAGGCCAUGCUGGAGGACCUGCUGAUACCCAACACCGGCUACUCCGCGGAGACGCUCUACGACGUGGACAGCGCGCAGCGGAUGCUGGAGCAGUUCAUGAUGACGAGCACGUCGGCGUUCGCCGCGUCGCCGGAGAUCACGGACGAGGGACAGCUGGUCGACGCCCCCUCGGCCGAGCUCAUGCCGGUCAGCACGGUAGCCAAGCUCGUCGACGGGUACCUCGCGGAGGUCGGCACGGACACCAACCUCAAGCUCUCCAAGUUCCAGACCAUCGCCGCGCUCGUCCCGGACUAUGCCCGGGCAAUCGACGACGGCCUCUACCGCGCUAUUGACAUCUACCUCAAGGUAAAGAAAAACUUAUUGAGCUUAAUCGAUCGAGCUGAAUGAUCAAACACAUGAAUGCCUGUGGUCUGCGGCGUGCAGGCUCACCCGUGGCUGACGGACUCGGAGCGGGAGCAGCUGUGCCGGCUGAUGAACUGCCAGAAGCUGUCGCUGGAGGCGUGCACGCACGCGGCGCAGAACGAGCGGCUGCCGCUGCGCGUCGUGGUGCAGGUGCUCUUCUUUGAGCAGCUCCGGCUGCGCACGACGGUGGCCGGGUGGUUCUUCGUGUCGGACAACGCCGACCAGGGCUCCAGCUCCGACAACUGCGUGCUGCCACGGAGCACCGACGACGACGAUGUGGAAUUCGCUGCAGGGUCGGAGACGACGGACGAGGACGGCUCCGCGGCGGGCCGGCACGUCGAGCUGUCGCCGGCGAUGAGCGUGGAGGAGGUCCGACAGAGGGUGUCGGAGCUGGAAGAGGAGUGCUCGAGCAUGCGGCAGGAGAUCCACAAGCUCGGGAAGCCCAAGAGCGCCCUGAGCCGGCUGUUCGGGAAGCUCGGGCUCAGCGAGAGGUCGUCGUCGCGGGAGCGGCGGCAGCAGCAGCAGGAGCCGCUGCCGGGCGCCAGCGACAAGAGGCGCAUGUCCUUUGGAUGUUAACAUGGGAAUUGGGAAGGUUUAGGCGUGAGAUAACUUGUCCGAGGCGCAUGUCCUUUAGAUGAUUCAUCUUCAAAUGUAGGUAGAAAGUGCAUUUGAUUCAUUCUUUUCAAUUUCUUUUGCCGAACAGGUGACUUUUAGAAUGUGCAUGUAACUUCAUUUUAGGCAAUGCUGAACAUUCUUAAGAUUUCCCCUACUGCUUCGACCUGCUCUUACUCGUACCUAAUUUGUCCACUAGAUGACUAGACACCUUGUAGACGGCUACAUGAGUACAUGACUAACAGUAACAGCAAAGAAUCAUUUGGCAUACGUAACCCAACAAGUUGAUAUCACUAUAGCCUGUAAAAGGAUUACAUUCUGCAAUUGCAUCCAAAAGGCAUUGCUUUAAGUGGCGACUACAAUGUCAGAACAGCAAGUAGCUACAGGGCAAAACUUAUUAGCUCUGUUUACAUGAGGAAAGUUAAGCAGGGCCCGCUGGAGACCGAGUGGCUCCCUAUAGUAUCAGAUUUUCUCAUUCACCACCCACGCAUGCGCAGCAUGGUCUGGGGAAAAUAUGCAGUUGCACAGAAUACUGAAACCAGCAAUAUCCCGUUGAACAAAAAGGAAGGAAAAAACCAUGGUCAAAAUCAAGAGAAUGUGGUCGAAGAAGCACAAGCAUGAAGGAGAGCAAGUGUCUGCUCGGCGAUUGCGCGUUUCCUCGCCUGUUUAACCCACUCGGUAGCUAUUUCAGCUGCUUCACUUCCAUGUAACCCUCCUUCCAAGGCCUCGGCUGCUGUACUCAAGUCUCCGUCCACAAUCAAGCUUUCCACUCUGUUUAUAAGGGACUCAAUGCCAUCUCCAGAAUUAUCCUCUUUAAUCUGGAAACCAAUAGAAUAUAAUGAUUAGAAACUCAGCUAGAAAUCUCAAGGAUAACACACCAACUCAGAUAUACUAAUUAAGACUAAAAGAGGCUCACUAGGGGCAGGGCAGUAAAGGAACACAGUGCCUGCCCUAAAGUUAAAAUGAGGUAUACUAUCAAUUUCAGUUGUAUCAGAUCACUAGGCAGUUCUUGACCACAAGUCAGAAAUGCAAUUGCACAAAAUAUUUCACGAACAUCAAUACAGAAGUCAUAACUGCCCAAUUACUUAACUAGUUAGACAAAAUAUUGCAAUAGCAUUCACCUUGAUGGAAGAAGCAACACGAGCAAGAGCAUGUGUCAGGAUUCCACCACCUCCUGCUGGUAUAAGGCUGAAAUGUCUGAUAGUUUCCUUCAAGGAGUUAAACUGCACAUGAAAAAGUAUGGUCAUUUAGGCAUUUUACUUGGGUGGCCAAACUGAUGGUUCUCAACAAGCAUUCAUGACAUAUUUUUGUGGUUCACAAUCUUUGGAUUAUGACUGCAAAAACUAGUCAGGGUUCACAAAACCAGAAUCCAGGCUGUUGAGUACUGUGCGGUUAGUAUUCCAAACUCCAUAGUCCAUCCAGAACAAUAAGGCAUGCAGCUAUCUUACACAAAACAUCUUGAUAACCAGUAGCUUGUUCCAUAUUCAGUAAGGGUAUGGAAAGAUGCAUUCAUGAAAAUACCUUUUGCUUCAACUCCAUCCGUGUAUCUGACCCAUAAUCUAAAACAUCUUCUGGAAGAGAUGAAAGAGCCAAUUCUAACAGUGAAUCUUUGUCAAUGCCUUCGACAGAUUUACGCAGUAGUUCCACCUCUGACCUGAUUGGUGAUCCACUGGAUAAAGCAUGUUCCAAAGCAAGAGUGCCCUGCAAGAUAAUAACAAAUUAUGUCAGCAUGAAAUCUGAAAAAAGAAGAUAAGAUGACAAUUAUGCUUUCAAUAGUUAGAACUUGGAGGCAAGCACAUAAGGAGUUUCAAGGAAACUUACUAGAGCAAGCUUAUGAACUGAAUGACUCUGCCUAGCUUCUUCAGAUCGUGCAUAAAAUGCCAUACACAGCGCAUCAAUCUGAAACGGAAGCAAAAAAACAAGGUUAGAGUAGAACCAAAUACAAGCAAGCUGAAAUUAUGGAUAACUUGUUUUUCUAGCAAUUGAAGAUAUAUACUGGCACAAAGGGCAUAGAUAACUAAAUUUUCUGCCUGGAAUAAUCAUGUGCUGGGUAGAACAUUGGAAGGUAUUUGAGUGGUAGACUUUAAACAAAAUGUGAGAAAGCUGUAUAGCAGUUAAAGAUUUAUACUGGCACAAAGAGCGUAUAUAAUUAAAUUUGCUGCCUGGAAUAAUCAUGUAUUGGAUAUAACAUUGGGAAGGUAUUUGAGUGGUAGACUUUAAAAAAAGUGAGAAAGCUGUGCUGUCAAGAACAUAGUCCAGAACAUAUAUUAUGACAUCUAUAAAGAGUCACAAAUGCUUGACCUAUAGAAGUACAAAUGUGGUCUACCGAGGAACAGAAAUAAAAAAAUUGUUUGUACACGUCCAGUCAUGUGCUGUUUCAACAUCUUAAUAGGAGCAUUGGCUGAAGAGUUGGGAUGGAAAUAUGAAACAGUCAAAAGGAACAUAGAGUAAUAGGGAAGGAGCGUGGACAGAAUUUGCUAAAUACUGACUGGGAAAUAAUGCAAUCUAUUUCAAAAUACUAACAUAGUCCAUAAUGUUCUAAAUCAGGACUAUUACGACCACAUGUGCAUGCAAUAAGCAUUUAAGUUAGCCAGGCCUCUGCAUUGCAUACCAAAGGUGCAAAGCCAAAUUUGAGAAUACAAUGCCCCUAAACCAAGCAAGACUUUUAAACUGGGUGACAUCAUGUCCAAUGGAUCUUUAUAACACUGCAGACCCUAAAGAAUAUUGAAUAAAGUUCUUACAUUGAGGUUUGCUUCAGCAAUCUGUUCAAUCUGGGUUGCUUUCUCUUUUGCAACAGCUGCAGCCAGUUCAGCUUUUGCCAACUCUUGAGCCUUUUCAAUUUGUUGCUUUGUUUCUUCAUCCUGUUAAAUCAGCAAAAAUAAGGUCAAUUAGUUAAUGAAUUAGCAUAAAUAGAUUAGAGAAUCUAUAGUAGGCAGAACAAAUCUGACACACCUUCCUCUGCAGCUCAUCCCGCAAUUUUUGUUCAGCUUUUUCUUGAAGUUCCCUUACUGCAGCAGCAUUCUUCAGUUUCUCUUUCUUCAAUUCCUGAGAACAGUGAGAUCAUUAAAAAACAUGAUAAAGAUAAAUAAUUCAUCGGAAAUUCAAUGAAAACAAGAUCCACUGCAUAGCACUAUAGCAUAUUAUUGAAUAAAGUGAAGAACACCAAUGCAUAUUGCACUGAGGGUCUUUGACAAUUUUGCUUUAGACUUAAAGAGUGCCUUUUUUCAAAGAAAACUGGAAAAACACAACUUUAAAGUAUUACUCCUGCCCUCCGGUGGUAUCUAGAAUUUGAACAAGUAUCCAGACUGCUGCAUGCUAACAAAUUCUCUCAUGAUAUGGUUAUUUUAGUUAAUUUCAGUAUUUAUAUUAUAAUAGUCAAAGCCUGAGUUUAAGGCAAUGAAAAGCAGUAAAUACCUACACUUUGGAAUCUAAGAAACCCAAUAUGGACCAAAUCAUGCCUGCUUCAUACCUUAUCAAGAAUUGCUGCCUCUUCUGCAUACAUUAGUUCCCUGGCCCUGGUGUCCUUCAGCUCCUUUUCAUAUUUCUCCUGAGAAGAUGCAAGGAAUAGCACAUAGAAAGUAGUACUAUCAAAUAUGUUGUUAUAGAAAAUAAAGAAGUCUUCAGUCUUCACCAUUGUUUGCAAAUUGCUUAAAAUCCAUGACAAUUACAAAAGUAACAAAAUGGUGAAAAUAAUGUAAACCACAAAGGUAAACUAAUGUCGAACCUUGCAUUUUCAGCAAAUAAAGACCACAAACAAGGAAAAACAGAAAUUGUAAAUUGUAAAUGCACACCUUCAACUUUCUUUUCUCUUCCGAAUACAUGUAAGCAUCUGCAUCUGCCUGCUUCUUUUCAGCAGCAUGAAUAGCCUCUAUGAUAUCAAGUACAACUUUACCAUCUUUGGAAGUUUUUUCAGGAACAAUUUCAUCCCUUCUAGUUUCCUUAGCAGCCUGUUUUUUCAUAGAAAAAAAAGGAUAAUCAGAUAAAUAACAAGGAAGAGAUGUUAUUUAAGUGUCAUCAUCAAGUUAUUUCCAGCUACUUCUUUGUCCAUAGAAAGUCCUUCAUCGAGAUUGUUAGAGUCUAAAGAGAUAAGAACUUUGAACUUACUGCAUCUUUUGGAACAUCAGAUUCAUCUUGCAGCAAAUAUGUCUCAGCAAGAGAUUUCUGUUCAGUCAAAUCAGCUCCUGAGAGGUCCUAUGAACAAGGAUUGAUUCAAUGGUCAGAGACAACAUCAUAAACCAUUGCAGAAACAAGACAACACGGACAAGUUUCUCAACAUUUGUACAUUGAAACUACAAGAAACCCCAAGCAACAUCGUCAAUCUCCAGACAGACACAUUGCAUGCGUGUAGUUUGUAGGUCUAGCAUUCACAUGGAGGCGUGCGUCUGUGUGAGGUUGUGUUUGUGUGAGCUCUCAGAUACUACUGCUGUACCUUAGAAGUCCAGGCUAAAAUAAUGUUUAUGACAAUGUAAGGAAAGCUGAACUGUGGGAUCUUCCCUGACAAAAAAGCUCCAGUAGUUCUCAAAUUAACAGUCAUGUAAAUUAAAACCAGCUCACUACCAAAAGUUGUUCAAGAGUGCCAGCUGUCUGACCAAAUUAAAUAGUCAGAAACAAAUAUAGAUGCAACUAUGCAACAACAAACCAUGGGACCGGCACCUUAUGAAGGGCAUACCUACAUAUGUAAACCAAACUGCAAGAGGGUUUCAUUUGCAAUUUUUAGAAUUUCAUAAGAUAAACAGGACACUUAAUCAUACAGCUGGGUCUAGCAUCUAGAUAUUACAAUCCAUGUUACACUCAUAGAAUCUGUUCAAAUGCCAUUUUGGAACUAGCAAAUAGAAGAUUCUAUUCUCUAUCCAUCAACAUGUAAAUAUUAUGAUAAGAAGGCAAGCAAUGAGAACAAAGGAAUCUAUACCUUGGUUGCAUCUACAUCUGUGGGGGAAUCAUUGUAAGGACUACCUGUUGUUGUGUUUGACUGUACUGGAGGAAUUGUGCUGUCUGUCUUAUCAGUUUGCUGUUCAUGAGGAACUUCAACUGUUUCCUUAUCAUCAAGUACAACUGGCUUUAUCUCAACAGCCAGAGAAUCUUGAGAUGGCAGUUUAGUAUCAGAUCCAUGCUCAUCUGGAACUGGAUGUGUCUCGUGGGCUAGGAUUUCUGAUUUCUUUCCUUCUGCAGGAACAAGCUGAUCCCCAUCACUAGUCUCUGAUGCACCCACCUCUUCAUUUGGAAGGUCCUUUGGAGUAUGAGCCUCAUUAUUACUAGCUUGAACAAUCUUGGUGUUAGGUUCUGACAUGAUUUGUGUCUGGUCAACCAUUUGUUCAGAAGGAACCUUCAAAUCUUCAUAAACCUUUGCGACAUCUGGAUUCUUGAAGCUAAAUGGUAAUUUCUUGUCCAUCGAUGAAAGAUCUAUAUAACCAAGUUGAUGUGCACCCAUAGCUGCAGCACCGACCACAAGAGUUCCAAGCACAAGCUUUGAAACAUUGCUUCCUGACUGAGAAGGUUCUUCUUGAGGACCUGGGGCAGUGUUCUGUGUUGAACUCUUUUGAGAUGCCUUUGUCGAGUUGCUUCUGGAUCUAAGGCAUGUUGGAGUCUGGGACAAUAAAAAGGUCAUUUCUCAUUUCCACUGAACAUAUACUAUGUAAAAGAUUUAUGAAAGUAGCAGUAAAAAACCUACAACAGGUUAUAAUCAGUAUCCUACAUGGAAAAUCAAACAAAAUCGCUGGACCUAACAAGCUAAGAUAAAAAAAAAAUACUAAUAGGAACUAACCUACAACAACAUGUUCACAUGUGACAUUAAUCUAGUCUAGGUGGGAUAGUAUUCCAUUGUACCACAUUAUCCCAUUUAAAAUAGCUCCAUCCAGACUUUCUAAAACAAGAACCAACGGCAUCAUAACAAUCAGACACACCAGAGAAGAGCUGCUACCUAUGUUAGCAAGAUAGUUUUACACUAAUUAAGAAAAUAAAGCAUUUCAAUAAUCUGCUGGGACCAGGUCUUUUGAACAACCACAAGCAGCCAUCCUUUAUUAGACAUAGAAUCCACGAGACCCAAAACCAAUAUGGACUAUCUAAACUAAACAUAACAAGUGGUUGUUAUCACUUUCAUAUCAAACAAGUAGACAUUACUCCUAAAACAGGCAAACAAGGUGAUUAUCUUAAAAGAUCCUAAGAGACACGAACAAGGAGAUUAGCACACACAUCAGAGCAUUCUGCUCCAAAUAAUCCUUGCAUCAUUAUACCUAACACCCAAUAUGUAGUACCUAAACUAAACAUAAAUUGUAAUUAAUAUUACUGUCAUAAUCAAAUAGUAGACAUUACUAUUAGCUUGCACUGUCCCAUCAUCCUAAAUCCUAGAACAUCCAACGACAGGCGACCAAGGAUAUCAACAGUUCAACACACCAUUCACAGAUUUGUGUUAUAAAUAUCCUUGCUUGGUUAAUUCAAUAUCAAGAGGCAGAAACUCAGGUAUCAUAUAUACAAUUACCAGCCUAAACAGCAUUUCCAAACUAAUCAAGCCAGCAGAAAUAUACUUAACUAAUUCACCACUUCUAAGUGUCCUGAUUGAGCUCCAACGAACAACCGAUUAUCUAACACAACAGACAACUCUGAGAACAAACAGCCAGACCGAGUGAAGCCCAACGGGAACAGAGCCGCGUACCUCGCUGGAGAUCGGUCUGGGGAUCCUCGCGAGAGACCGCAGCGAGCGCAGAUCCCGCACGCACCUGCAACAGUGGAUAUAGUGGAGCAUUAGGCAUCGAAUCCCUAAUUUGGGGAUGGGGUGAGCACCAGAGUCAGUGCCGGUACCGGCGCAGCAUGGUGGGGGAUGCCAGGGGAGACCACCGCCCCUUGUUGUUCGCGCCCCUGGGGUGAGGAUGAGGAUGAGGAGGUGGAUGGGCGGUGGAGCGAUGCGGCUCCGAUCGCUCCGCAAGGCCACCGCCCCGAGCUGCGCGGCGGCAAGGGAGAGGCAGCUGUGGUAGGGGAGGGGAGGGGAGGCGGGGCGGAGAGCGGCGCGUCGCCGGGCGGCUUCCCGAAUGAACGCUUGGAGAGCAAGUUGGGGGGAUUGUUCAGGCUAAACAGGGGCGGCGUAAAUUCGUAGCUUUUUUUGUUGAGACGGAAACACUAAAUCGAAGCACUCGCCGUAACUGAAUCUGGAAAAAAAAAACAAAUGGAGAUUCAUGAACACGUCCCCAACUCACAACUCUGGCUUUGUUAGACGAGAUGGCACGAGAGCCGCUUGUUCUUUUUGAGGGGCAUGUACAACUCAAAGAAAAUCAAGAGAAAUCGGCAGCCAUAGCAGAGCGCCAUCCUGCCCCGGGGCCCGGGUUUGUAUAACCUGCAAAAAGGUUGUUUUGUUGUCUAUUUGCAAAUAAAAAUACACCCUCGUCCUGAUCUUGUGGAUGCCAACAAAUCGGGCUUCUCUCCCAUCUUGGUCUAGCGGGAGUAAUGGCGCCGUACAUGCCAACACCUCACAAAUUCAGCUUGCAUCCACAGAUGCAGGCUUACUAGUCACUAGUCAGAAACUCAUUCAGCGUACCGCAAUUGUGGUCUAGCAAACGCUAUAGCUCCCCUCGUCCAUGAUAAUAUACGGUUCGGUGCAACUCUACCAAGGCCCAAAGCAAGCAACCAAGCACACCCUAUGUGAAUCUUUAACCUUCCUAUCACUCUCCUCGCAUCUUUACUCUCCUCGCAUUACAUGUACAGUACAACAUGAAGAAUGCCAACACAGACAGUAUACUCUACAGCAGUCAGAUCCUGCCUACCAGUCAUCGCUAAAUCGAAGAAAAAAAACCUGUCACAGUUCAACAGGGCUAGGCUACCAAAAAUGUCACUGAGAUUGGGGGUGGAAGUAUUGCAUUCCAGGAGGGGGCGGCUGCAUUGGCCUGAAAGGCGGCACGCCGGGCUGCUGAAGGGCGAACUGCAUCUGCGGCGCCAGGCUCAUCGGCAUCUGCUGCUGAAGCAUGGGCGGCGCUGGAGGCUGUGUCUGCGGCAUGAUACCCAUUUGCGGCUGGGGUGCCGUGAGUGAGGGCCUUCCAAGGUUCAUCAUCUGGGUCGGUGGUGGAGGCGGGGGCGGGGUCAUGGUGCUCAUGUUGUAAGGCAUGCCCAUCAUCACACCCCCAGGCUGCUGGACAAACUGCUGGGAUGGGGCCUGGUACAUAUUGUACUGGGGAUGGGGUGCAGGGGCUUGGCUCUGCAUAGGUGCUUGCUGUACUAACAUUGCCUGGGGCUGCUGCUGAGCUGUUGUGGCAACCACUUGUGGCAUGGGAACGAAAGCAGCAGCAUUCGCGACGCUUGGUACCUGCAAGGUUUGGUCAGUCUUUUGCCUCUUAUCUGAGGCUGAGCGCGUUUCAGAUGAAUUCUUCGCUUCUUCAGCAGCAAACUUGGAAAGUGCAGACUGCAGUAUCUGCUGAGAGUUUGAUGAUGCUGCAAUCUUGUCCGCGAGAAUAGCAGCAGCUGUCUUCUGCUGCUCCUUUGCUUGCCCAUUGGGAAGCGCCUUUCCUGGCUCUGCUGACGAAGCUGCGUGGGCCAGCGGAAUGGUUGGCUCAUUCUUGAGUCUCCGUUGCAUGUUGGAGGCUUCAUGUACCAUUGCUUCAGCCAGCUGCCGAUUGGAAAGUUAAAAACAUAAGAAUGGCAACUGUUUACAUCUUACAGAACAUUACAAGCCUGUAAUGACAUUUCCAUGGUUUGGGGGGAACGUUACCUGUAACUGAGUGCGGACUUUCUCCAAUUCGGAUUCCUGGUUAACAUAAACAAGUAAGAUUUCAUAUCUCUGUAGCCAAAAUACAAGUAACGAUGACAACUUGACAAGAAAAUACAAAUUCAAGGAAAAUAACUAAAUGCAUCAUAACUAGUUAGGGAUCACGUUGUUCCAACCUGCUCCUGCAAUGCCUCCUUCAAUUCAGAUACAACAGCUGCUCUAUUUGCUUCAACUACUUUCAGCUUUUCAAUGCAUUUUUUCAUGUUAGCCUCCUCAUCUUUUAAUUCUGCGCAAAGAACCUCACGGCGAGGAUCUUCAGCUGCAUACAGAGAAAAUCUUAAGAACGUCUACUAAGGUAGCAAAAAUGCAGGACUCGGCUCAGGUUGACAAACAACUAUUACCUUUGCUACAUGCACUGUCAACAUCCUUCUCCAACUUUCCAACACAACGCAUAGAAGUCUUGCAUUUUUCCAGGUCAGCAUCUUCAUCUGCUUGUUCGCUGUGAACAGUAUGCAAUGCAGAUACAAUUUUCUCUGCAGUUCCUCCGACACCUAGUCUCUGAUCAAAGACAGUGAUAAAAUUUGAGAGAAUUUCAUAGCAAUGAACAAUUGUUAAAACAAAGUCUAGCAGGAGUAGAAAUCUUACAAGUUUUAUAGAACGCGAAUCUCUUUUAACAAUCUUUAUGGCCGAAAUGUGAGAGCGCUUUUUUGUCAUAUCUAAAACAGGAAGAGGGGCAGCUCCAAGCAUCACAUCCUUGAUGCCCCCAGCACGUGAACCAAAAACUCUCCUUUCUUGCCAUAUGUCAACCUAGGACACACAUUGGUACGUUACUAAUAGGUUUUGUAGCUGCACGGCAAUAUUAACAGGGUACUCGUGUAUUUUCAAAAGAGAUAUGCAACAGUAAUUGGCCAGCUCAUAGCAUUGAUAUACGGUACUCACCAGCCUAGAUGCCACCUUCUUACCACGAUCAUCACCAUUCUCAGUUACAUCUUUAAGCGCCCCAGGGAGUACCUUCCAAAAUUCUUCUACAAACUCUGUCCCAUUGCGCUUGCUGUUCUGUAAGAUGUCAUUAGCAAGAUAAAGGAAAGGGACCUGCUGCUCCUUGCUAGAGCUGUGGAAUUGCUUGUCCCAAGUCUGGACGAUUUGCUCUGCAUUCUUUCUAUGAUAAAUGCACCAAUGCGACAGCGCUAGUGGUCACGACGAGCAAAAGUCAAGGCAACAAUCAGAUAACAAGAUUACAUGUUGUGACAAAGAAAUCAAUCUAUUUACCCCUAGAUAUAUGAAAAGAUUUAAAGUCAUACUGUUCCAGUAGGCAUUCUAUAAAAAGAAAAGUCGUCCAAGUCGUCAAGAAUCUAUCUGAAAAUAGUGUAGAACGGACACAGAAGAAUUUGCAUUUCCAGGCGCCUAAAAAUUGCUAUCUUGCGCACUACCUCCCUAUUCGCUAUUCAAAUAGACAUCCUUUUGAACGAAGCUGACAGCAAUUCGACGGGCGCAAGAUUACGCGCAGACAAAAAGAGAUGUUUCUACAGUCUAAUGACACAGAAAAGUGAGGCUAAGCGCAGAAAUUGCAACUUCACAGUAAACUUCCCGUAAGCACCACAAAACAACCCAAAAUCCACAGAUUUGGCCAGAGAAAAGCAGGGCAAGGAUACUCUCGAUGCAUUGCUGAGUGUUGUUGAGCUUGGCGAGCUUGUCAGCGAGUAUGUCCUCGCUGAACGCGCUGUUCAUGGCCGCCCGAACAGCACGCAGAGCUCAAAUCGCCGACGCGUCGCGCAAAUCUUGGGGACGGGGAGGAAGCGGGACCGAUGAACCCUAGAAGGAAAGCAUGCAAGGAGACCACGGCGGCGGUGGCGGAGGCAUCGGCCGCCAAAAUUUCGAUGUGAAGAUGGAUCGGGGAGGCUAGGGUUUGGGGUGGUAAGAACUAAGAGGAGUGUAAGCGCGAUUCAGAUCGGCUCAGGCGUUUUGCUUGUGUGUUGCUUUGUUUUUUUUCUUUGGAUGCUUUAUUGAAAAAAGGGAUCUUCAACUUAUUAUCAUUCUAGUCAUCAAAUUACAUAAGUUUUAAAUUUAGACCAAGAAUGGCAUUUGGGGAAACAAAUAAAUACACUAGCAACAAGACAUUAUGUGACAUCCAAAUGUUCAAAAUAAAUAAUGACCUUACACGUAUGGAUGGAAUUUAGAUUAAAUAAGUAUACAAACUAAUAUUUCAUCUCAAAGGAUAAAAUUAUGUAGCUUCCGUAUUUUAUAUAUGUUUUUCAUUCUUACUCGCCUUGACUUCAAUUCAUAUUACAUUUUCUAUAUAGGUGAUUACACACACUUAGCCAAACGAGCUAAAUUUAAGCUUUUGCUUUCUCAUACCAACCUUACGUUACCGUCAAUCAACAACCUAUUUAGCGUCUUUCACAGUGAGAUGUCUAUAGCGCCUUCGUCAACCUUGAAGAUCUAUGUAGAUGUAUUUUCGUAAAGAUGAGUGUGCAUGUAUGUACGUGAGCAUAUACAUCUGUAUUUAUAAAAAGAAAGCCAAUGACAAUGCGGCGUAGAACCGCAGCCCAACUUAACCACGCAUGAAGCUCCGCCCCUAUCGGGCAGUGUGACAAGGACACAAAGUAGCGGGGAGCCAGCAGCCAUGAGCCAAGUCGGGACACAAACUAGAGGACGGGUUCAAAGUGACAGUAGAGACAUCGCUGGGAAAGGUGGAGCCGUGGAGGUUUGGGAGGCAGCGGCAACGACGGUUUUUUAGGGGCACCGGCGGGUAGGGGCGGGCACCCAAGAGAAGCACAACACGGGCGGCUCGAGCGUUGCCUGCUCCUUGGCAUUGUAAAGGGCCUAUGCUUGGCAUUGUAAAGAGCCCUUUCGUGCUGGACGAUAUGGUCUGAACGAAAAGCUCGAGCAGUUCUGGCUUUGGGCUCUAUCGUCUCCUUUGCCAACAAGUCAUAAUCACUCCCAUUAGCCAUCAUAACCAUUCAGUUUCAGGAUAGGUUGAAGUGCUACCAAAUUUCCAAUGAAGCAAUUAGCUCGUUCCCAAAACAACGCAGUUAGAUUAGCUGGGAUUUUAGUGGAUUGCAAACGUAAAAUACACACAAAGAUGCAAAACGAAUUCAUUACUGCAGGUGAAGUGAACAGCAGAGACUUCAUGGUCGAUUCUGUACGAGAUAAGAGAUGGCAUAUUCAAUCUCGAGACCUUGAUGGCAUAUUCAAUCUCGAGGCUUUCAUCACUCAGGUUGAAUUAUGUUAGCGAAACAUCUGUUCAACACCACAGAAGCAAGCAACAAUGACAAAGAGUUCUCCCUAAUUGCCUCAAAUCAUAAAGCCCCUACAAGCCCACACGUGCCGGUGCCGCAGAACGUGUGGAGCCUUCUUAACUCUAAAGGAAAGUUCGAAUGCGACGACAUGACGGAAAGCGAACCAGGACUCAGCACAUGGUAACUAUUGCCGAAUUGAAGAUCUUCACUUCUUCCUCUUCUUUGGGGGCUGGAGUGAGUCUUCAUCAUCAUCUUCCUCCUCAUCCUCAUCUUGGUCAUCAUCUUCCCCUUCUACAGCCUCGUCGUCGUCUUCACCGCCAUCUUCAUCAUCGUCAUCAUCAUCAUUGUCAUCGUCGUCGUCGUCAUCGUCGUCACCACCACCGCCUUCCUCCUGGUCUUCUGGUUCUUCCUCAUCUUCCUCACCAUUUUCCUCAGCAUCACCUCUUUGUUUCUUCUUGUUCUCGUUGCCCUUUGGGUUAUCAUAUCCCUCUCCUUCUGAGAUGUCCUCUUCUCCUUCUGAGAUCUCCUCUUCACCCUCCCCCCCAAAGUCACCAUCUUCGUCAUCGUCGUCACCACCGUCAUCUUCAUCACCAGCAUCAGUGGGUUCAAGCUCGUCACUCUUCUUUCCGCUCAUCUUGAAGUCAGGCAUACAAUAGAUAGGAUCCUGUACAUUGAUCAAGCAAAUAUCCAGAAUGUCAACAUUAAGAACAAAGCUAAAACACUAAGGAACGGAAAUUUAUAUAGCCCAAAGGGUAAGAUACUAAGGUGGAUAUGUUGAGAAUGCUUGAACACACAUCUCAAAAACACAACAGAAGGGAAGAAAUAAUCAAAUGGCACCAUGGAAACCAAACCAUAUGUACAGACACAAAUAGCUAGCUAGCCAAGGAAAAAAAACUUUCGAUAGCCAAGAAACAUCACCUUAGGCACAGCACAAGCAGCAGACAAUUAGGUUUACAAGGUAAAAUAGACGUCUGAUCUCAAAUAGCAAGAACAGUACACCAAUGUGCAAUUAUAUGGUCCAAGAGUUCUGAUAUAGCAUUCCUGUGGCCGUCAUAGAGGGACAAAAAGCUCAUCCCGCUUUUAUUGUCCAGGUGAUGAUCCAAGAUACAUUUUUUUUCAUUCUUACUGGAUGGCUUCUAACUUGUAACCAGCUAAAGGCGGGUAAUUCAGAAGGCUUGAGCCAUCAAAGAUGGAUUUAUUGUACUUAACAUUGUGCUGUGUCCAUGAGUGUAAAAUAGGAUAGUUUGCUGCAGAACUGGCCUGGUACAGUCAACCAUAAGCAUGUGGAUGACUGGAUCUAACGAACAAUGACUUGGUUUUAACUUGUAACCAGCUAAAGGCGGGUACCAGUCGACAUGGUAGAUGACUGGAUCUAACGAACAAUGACUUGGAUCCAGUGCAACUGUUCAUGUACCAGCUCUGGAGGGUAGGCUGAAGAGUACAACUACCCGGGGCCACAUGUCAUCGAGGGGCCGUACAGAUGAGGGUAAGAACUAGCUUUCAGUUCCCACCCUGAGCCUGAGGCCGAGGUAUCUAACCCCGCUGGAAAUUUACAAACGGCUUCAGCAAUGAUAGAGCAAAGGGACCACGUCAAAAAUAUCUCAGUUAUGAAGGAACCUGACUGCAAAAUAACUACACUGCAAGGCUCUUGUGUCGCAGUCGCAUCUUCCUACUGCAAAGUGCAAACCGCAAGCACGCGGACCAGGGGGGACAGCCAUGGCGUUAAAGAAAGGCUUUCUCUUCCUUACGGAAGUACAAAAUUAUGUACUGAAAAUUAGAUGCACAACAAUUUAGAGAAAAAGAAGGAUUUAACCGCAUAAUGACACUACAACAGAAACCAGAUCACUUUCUAAUCAUCUUGCUUAGUAGGUAAGCCACUGAAUGAAACUGUCCAGCAGUUUCUUGUUAUUUUCUGGGGGGGGGGGGCGCGAGAGAAGCCUUUGAGUUGUUGAUGAGGAGAAAAAAAAAAUAUCUUAGGAGGUAUCUAUUGGUGUCGUGGGAAGCGAAUAUUCGGGCGCGGGGUAGGCACGUAAUUAGCAAGCAACAAGAGGGCGCUUUUUAUAUCCUGUGGUCCGGUGGGCCCACCCCCACGGAACUCAAAUCCCCAGCCGGAAACCACACCCUAAACCCACCCCCACAAAUCCGCAUCCGAAAAGUCCGAAACAAAGAACAAUAUCCCACCCACUCGACGGCCCAAAGCAGCCUCGCACCAGUAUGAUAUUUUCCUCGAAAAAACAAAGGAAAAGGGCAAGCUAAUCGGGGAGAAUAUAUAUAUAUGUAUAUAUCACAGAAUCAAAAGGACCAGAACGGCAAGAUGAAACAGGGGCAUGCCAGUGAUUAUGCUGGUUGUUUUACCUCGGCGACGUCGGCGCCGAGCGGCUUCUCCAAGACGGCGGCGUCGCCGGCGCCGGCGUGGACGGCUCCGGUGGCGGCAGCGGGCGUCAUGGUGUCCAUCUGGACGGCUGCAGAGGCGGCCACGCGGACAUGCACAGGGAACAAGGUCCGUCAGAUGGGACAGUAUACCGUUGGAGGCAAACCAGGAAAACUUAAAAACUGGCAGCGGUUUACUUUCCCAAGACCAAGCGAAAGGCCUUCAGCCUGAGAUUUUGUGCCCCCCUAAUUUUAGCAAAAACCCAAUCUUAGAUUUGCUCGCAGAGCACAAGUACAACUGUCAGGCAAAGAAAGUUCUGGCGACUUGGGGGGGAAAAUUGGAUAAAACAGAGAUGAACAUGAGACGAACAAGAUGGUACUUCAUAUCUCAAGAACAGAGCCUCAAAUGUUAAGACAUGUCUCUGUUCCGCAAGAGAAAUAUUUCACAAACAUGCAUAUAAAAGGUUCAGGCUAUGAAAGAGAUAAAAACUACCAUGGCUCCAUGCAUGAAACUACAAACUUUAGGCGUUAACAGAGGCAACAGAUAGGAUAAUCCUCACCAGCAAGAACAUGAAGUAAUUCAGUGUGGCCAGACAAGAGACAGGGGCAGGGAGGUUACCUUUGUGUCGAGGAACUGGAACUAGGCGGCGCAGAUCUGAAGGUUUCAAGGAGGCUACUAGUACUCAACGGGCAGAACUAGGCGAACUCCGUGGCUGCAACGGGAGGAUGGAGCAGAGGAAAGGAGGAGACUUUUUCACUCUAGAGAGGCCGGAGGGAGAGGGCAGAGGAGCCGGGCAGCUCGGGCAGGAGGGGCAGGGCAGGUGGUGGGCGCAGGAUAGGCCGGGCCAAGCCGUGGCAAUUGAUGGGUGGAGGGCAUAUGCGUAAAUCACUUGUUUCCCCGGGGCCUGAAGAGAGAUCCUGUGGACUUAGACAGUGAAGGAAAAAAAAACUGAACGGCGAAUCAGACGGCUAGCGUUACGCACGGAUUAAUUAAUCCGCGUUAACCUUGGACCGUCAUCGCGUGGGGGUGCGCAACAGCGGCUUUGGCUUCCCACUCGGGGCCUGACCACCACCGGACGCUUUUGAAGCCUGAACUUCUCGGGUCUGAGAGACCAAACCAGACCGAAUUCAGCUGGUAACGGAGGGCAAUUCCUCACCAACGUCUCGGACAUGACGUGAUAUACCAAGGUUUCUUCUCGUGAAUAAGAGGAAAUUCAGUGCAGAAAGACAUGCAUUGAAUAUCACCGUGAGUAGGUGGGGACAGCGGAGAGCCGUGGAGCCAUCACCGAGAAGCACGCGCUGCGGCAGAGUUUCUUUGAUUUACAAGGUAAAAUCUGGAAAAAGAUCUGUGCUAUGUCAGGACGACGCCCACCUGUUUCCGGCAUGCAAAACCCCAACGCCUUUUGUUUAGAUUUUUUUUAAAAAAAAACUAAAGCCCGUGCGGCGACAGAAUAGACGUCUCAAUCAUCCCUACGGGAGUUUAACCGAGGAAGUCGCAGCAAUGGGUGGGUCAACACAGCACCGUGCCGUGCCACCAAUCCUGUCGGCAGUAAGCACCGUGCGUGUUGAUAAAACACUCAUCUGCAUGAAACUAACCAGAAAGGCAAGGCAAACGAAACCCAACAGGCGAGCAAGGGGAGGAAAAAUAAAGUAUCAUCAGACAAAGCUUCAGCGAGAGCAUCAGGCUACUUGCAUGCUGGAUGCCUGUGUAAAGGAAAGCUGUGCAAAUUAGUGGGGGCGACGGGAAGUCUGGAAUGGGAUUCCUUUGUUCUGACGGUCUAAACAUCUUCAACAGCAAUUGAUGAAUGUUCAAGUCCGAAUCAUUCGUAACAAGGGUAGUAAAACUCAUACCUUUCCAAAUUGUCUGAGGCAGCAACUGUGCUGGAUGCAUUAUAUCAUAGCUCUACUCCUUGUAGAACAGGCCACACCGUGCCCAUACCAAUAAAUAGUUCAUGUGACGAAAAGCAUGUCCACGCAACUCAGAUUCUAAAAUAUAGCUGAAGAUCACAAAGUGACACAGGUUACAAGAUGCUUUAGCAUUCAUGGUCAAGAGUCAGAACAAAUUAUCUCUGACUGAGAUCCCUUAUACUUAAUUGUGUUUGGGCAAUCUAAGGAUCAAACAAGUUCCCUGAGAUUUUCAUCUUAGAUUUAAUUAAGACUGUACUGAGCUGAAAAACCUAAAGAACCACAAGAACUUGGAGCGAUGAGUUCAAACACAACUCUGAAAUAAGCCCAAUCAAAUUGUUUGCUGUAUAAGAACGACCAUGUGCUCAAGAGAGGCUCAUAGAAACUACAUUCGGUAGGGAUGCAAACAUGAUUAUAAGUAUAGAGGAACACAACAAUAUCAAUAGAACAUAUGAUACGAGGUUGAAUAGUUCUUCAAUGGUUAGCAAGACAAUCAGGCACAAAAGGCAUAAUCAUGACAGUGAUAAGCAGAUCUAAAGGAACGUUGUCAUUCGAUCACCAGAGAGUAUAAUUAUGUAAGCAGCAAAUAGCUUUGCUGACAAUGAAGCAAAAAACUAGAAGGGGCCAAAAAUAAAGGAACAAUCAUUCUGCAAGUAGUGUCAUGUGAGACUAAUUAAAACAUUUAGAACUGUUAGCUAUCAACUGUGAUGACAACAAAGGAAUAAAAGACAACUGUCGUCAUAGAAUAGAAUACCAUUCUACACUUAUCUGCAAAACUUGGGCAGGCCAGAAGGCAUAGUCAAUGGGGUCAAUUGUGCUGUAAUGUUUACUAAGAAGAAUUUGCUAGUGCUAAGAUGAAUUAAUGGAUUAAGCAAAAGUUGCCAGGAGCUGAGAUCGGCACAUGGGCUUGAGUCUGAAGAGCUGGGUGCCCAUUAGUCUAAAACCCCAAAGAAAAGAAAUAACAGAAAUGUCAAACAGAAGGUGACCUAGGCCUGGCCUGUGCCACCUAGUCAUAAGGCAGAAUGGACAAUGGACCCUUAGAACACCCCCCCCCCCCCAAACCCCUCCUUGCCAGCACCAGUUAACUGUCUCCUUACACCAACUAGCUGAAGUGUGCUUUUGGCACUAUUUGAGCUAUUACUGUGUUUUAGAAAUUGCAAUGUGAUAAACCAUGUUAGAUCAAUUUGUCAUGUGCCAAGUUCCAACUGUACUACUUCAAAUGUAGCAAUAUCAUUCAUAUCUAGAAAAAAGCAUUGCCCAAAAGCACCAAGACAAAACAACCACGGCCAGCCAGUCAUGUAGAUCAUAAAUAACAAAACUAUUUUCCAUGUUGAAAUAAAUACAACAGUUCCAUAGCCCAUGAAAGUACUGCUACUUUCAUGUUCUGAAAAGAAAACAUAGUAGCCUGGUUGCAUGCAUAAGGAUUACAAAUUAUUGAUAUGACUUGGCAGUUUCAUCCUGGCCUAUUCAUGAGUUCCCAUGAUGACUCAACAUUUCAAAGGUCAGCAUUGAGCUUCUAGAGAGGGUUCAACAGCUUAGUCAUCUACCAGCAGUAAGAACAAAUUCUAGUAAUAUCUUUCUCCCCUUAAACUUCAAGGAAGAGAAGGGCAAAGCAUAUACCAGUGUUUUGCCAACGGCACGAAGCGAAUCUUGCAAGCCAGCCUAGCACUACGCCUAGAUUGAUAUUCAAAAGAACUACUACGUACGGUAUUCACAAGAACAAUUAAGUUGAGAGGAGCAGCAAAAAACUGGACGAAAGCAGUGGGAAGAAAGCGAUGCCCGGGCGAUGGUAGUACGAAAAGCUCGAAUCCUUAGGAUUCCGGAUUAGAAGUAGCUCCGGCUGUGGCUAGAAGGCAGUUAUCUAGUAAUUCGAAGUCUUAUGCCUUAUUGAAUCUAACAGGAAGAUUGCAAGAACAAUCUUUCAAUUGUACUUAUCCAUCGUAUCCUAACAUAAGCAAUUAAUGGAAAAAAUCAACUUAAAGUGGAGGUAUAGUUCAGGAAACGAAGGGGCUAAUUUAAUUAGUAAUCCAGUUAUGAAGUGUCAGGGUGACAGGGUAUGAGCGUGUAUAACAAAGUAAUCCUGGCACAAAAAAAAGAGCUCCAACUGUUAUGCUUCAAUUUCAGAGAACAUCUCAAGGUAUAUGAGCACUAAAUACCAAAGAGAGGUACCAUAAGCUAGGUUCUAUCCCUUAAGAUCUCUUUAUAAAGCACGGUACACAUAAUAAAUUCAAUCAAUCUACAUGGCUACUGUUAAAGACCGGGAAAAUUUAGAAAUAAACUUGAAAGGCAACAAAGCUGCAAGAUAUUUGAGAUCUUAAAUGUUGUAGUCCCUGAACCCAACAUCAAAGCAGAAACUUCCAAGUUCCAAGUUGAAGGCAAAAGCCAUCAAUACCCACCCAUACAUACAAACAGCACCACAACUGUAACUGCAAUUAAAAUGUCUUCGAGUGCCCAGAAAAACCAUUUGAUAUUGCCGACGGGACCAGAUAACAGCCAAUUUGUCAAAAUACAGAUAUUUCGGUACAUAAAAUCCAAUACAGAUCAUAAAGUACAUAAUUAAGCCGCAAUAGCAAAACUACAUUGUAGGCAAUAAAAACAACAUAAUUCUUCGAGAAAGUUCCUCCUUCAAAUACUGCCACAAAGGUAUCUGUCAAAUCUGGUAAAGUCAACAGCAGGAACCCUUUCGCAACAUUUUGGCACCAACAUAGACUUAAAAGCCAUCCGAAUGGAAAAUCACAUGAACCAACCACGACCCGCAGAUGCCAAACUAAAAUACAAGGAAACGAAUCAGAAGACUAUAAGAGCAAGAUCAACAAAUCACAAAGAAUGCAUAGAGAAUGAAGGAACUCAAAUCAACAGUAAAAAAGGUGAGUCAUAAAACAAUGUAACAGGUUUAGAGUUAAUAUACCUAGUUCCGUCAGUAUCCACCCUGAAAACCAGUGCCCCCGAUCUGAGCACCAGGCACUUGGCCCUGCCCAGCAGCCCCAGCCUGAUAACCAGCAGCACUGGCAGCAGCCGCUGCAGUACUAGUCUGGGUAGUUGCUUGGCCAACCUGAAACCCAGGUGGCCCUUGAAAACCAGGGGGAGCUCCACCUCCUUGAUAUGCAGCAGCAGCAGCUUGAACACCUGCUGCAUUUGGGAAAGUGGCACCUCCGGUUCCAAAUGCCUGUGUCCCAAAUCCCUGAGCUCCAAAACCUGUAAGACCAGCUGUGUGUGCCUGCUGCCCCCCUGCACCCAGUGCAGCAGCAGCAAAGGCUGGGUUCAUAGCUGCAAGCAUGGCUGGUGUCAUCCCCAGCGCGGCUGGGUUCUGCAUUGCCGCUAUCAUGGCAAGCAUUGCAUUGGGCUGUGCAAAUGCCUGUUGUUGUGCACCUAAUCCCAGCAUAGCAGCUUGCUGUGCAAAACCCAAGUCAGUUACAGCAGUAGUACCGUAUGCUGAUGCAUCAUAUGGGCUAAUGGCAGCACUGGCAGGAGCAGUCAUUUGUGCGGCUGCAGCCACAGAGGCAGUGGUGACAUUAGAAUUAGCAUUCGCAUUUGUCCCAGAUGAGCCUUUGGUCCUCCCAUCUAUAGCUUUCUGCACAUUGAGCAUCUUGCCAUCAAAAUUCCUCACUGGCUCCUCCAAUGCACGGCGGGCACUCUCCACAGACUUGUAAACAAACAAUGCAAAUCCCUUAGGUUUGCCAGUGUUCUUGUCAAAGCCUAAGGGCCCCUCCUCAAUCUCACCAAAUUGCGAGAAGUACUCAUAUAGGCGGUCGACGUCCACAUCAGCAUGCACAUUACCAACAAAUAUCUUGCGUGGCAUAUUAUCGGGUUGCGAGGAUGAGGAGCCAGAAGCAUUGCUGGUGGUACCGGAGUUGGAGUUGGCAUUGGUGUUGGCGUUGGAGCUAGGGUUCUGAGACUGAGAGGCUGGGGGUGCGGGACCUGAGGCGGCGAGGUGGCAGAAAGCAAGACGACCUCCGAUUUGGAGCUGGGGGCGGCGGAGGGCGCGGAGCGCAGCGCGGCGGGAGCGGAAGAGGACGAACCCGUAGCCCUUGGAUCUGCCCGACUGCUUGUCGGAGAUGACGCGGCAGUCCUCGAGGUCGCCGAAGCGUGAGAACGCGGAACGGAGGUCGUCGACGCCAGCGCCCCACCCGAGGCCGUGGACGAAGAGCUUCCUGCUCGCGGGGUCGGCCUCCGCGGCGCGGCGCACGGCCGCCAUCGUGACGGGGCUCGCCUCCGCGGCCGUGCGGAGUAGCGACACGAGCUGCUCCCGCGACAGCGGCUCGAGGAGCUUCCCAAUGUCCUCCGCCUCGUCCUCAUCUUCGACGGCGACCUCGUCCUCGUCCUCCUCGGCAGAGGCGGUGGGCUCGGGGUCGUCGGUGAUGGGGAAGUAGAUGGUGCCGCGGGGCUUGUUCUCGGAGGGUGCCGGUUCCUGGCGGUGGUUCCCGGCGGCUGGCUCCGCGGCGGCGGCGGCGGCGGCGGCGGACUCGGCCGGAUCGGCUUUUCGCUUCUUCGGCGCCAUCGGGAGGCGAACUAGGGUUUAGGCGCACGCCUGUGGUCUGCGGAGGAAGGGAAGAUUGGGAAUUUGGGAUUUCCGGACACUGAUGAAAGGAGAGAGAAAAGGAGGUGGAAUAAAUGUACCAGGCCCGCCUUUAUUAACGGCGAGCUGGCGGCGCCGAAAAGCCCAUGAAAAUUAGGCCAUGCUGUAGAGGCCUUUACUGGAGGCCCAACAGUCAUCCUAAGUUUUCUCCUUGCUAAGGUCGGCCCGGGAUCAUGUGGCCGCCCACAUAGCCCAGAUCAUCCUCCCAAAAAAAAACAUAGCCCAGAUCAUCACUGGAUUUCCAUCCCUUUAAGGCUGCCAUUAUACUGAUUUCUGCAGAAUCACCACAAUUUUGCAUUAGUGUAUUGAAAAUUAAAUUUUGCUAAAGGUGUCAAAGUUCAGCUGCGAGCUUUAUCUGCAGUGAAAACAAGUAGAAGUUGGUCAGAUUUAGAAAAAAAAAUAGCCGUAAGCUGCAUUUGAACAGGAAUCAGUCGCCCAAAGUCAGACCAACAAGAACGAAAUCGGGCAACCCACCUAGUCCAAAGCACAAGGAUAUACUGAGUAUUUUGCGACCAUAUCCCUCCUCAAGGUCCUACCAUCCUUCAGGAAGUGCACCUACAUCUUGUUGGGAGAUGGAAAAAAUAGCUCCUCUUGGUUUGAUCCAUGGUUGGGCGAGAGGCCUCUGGCCGAAGUCCCCCCUUCCCUGCGCUCCUUGUGCAGAAGACCCAACCUAAAUGCGACAGCUGCCUGCUCUGAUGGCACUUGGUCUCUUCCUCUCCACUCAAGAUUGUCUUCCCAGGCCUCUCUCGAGAAUCAGCAACUGGUGAUAGCACCGGCAAAUGCCACACCUAUGGUCGGUAUAUCUGACCGUCGAGGGGUUGGCAAACAGAUACAGCCAUUCUCUUCUUCGGCUUUCUACUCCUGGUACAUGAAUCAAGUCCCUGUGGAGCAAUUCACAAGUCUUGUGUGGUGCAAUACGGCUACCCCGUGUGGUAAACAAUUCCUGUGGCUACUUCAUCGACAGAGGCUACCAACAAGCUCUCUUUUGCACCGAAGAAACAUUGUUGACCACCCAACGUGCCCACACUGCAACCAAGUUGAGGACCAAGAACACAUCUUCCUUCGAUGGCCGGAUGCGGCUAGAAAUUGGAGAUGCCUGGGCUAGGAUUUCAUUCCUCACUUAGAAUCCAUUGCAGCAGUAUGGUCUACCUCAGAGUUCCAAGACUGCCACACCCCUAAGUAUGCAUCCACCGUUGCUACUGCUAUCUUCUGGAACAUUUGGAAGGCAAGGAACUCUCGUCUUCAGACAGGAACAUCACUCUACCAUGCAGGUCAUCAAGGUGACUGCGGCUGAUCUUCAACUUUGGUCCCGAAGAACUCUCAAUGAAAAUGUAAUUGCAAUCUUCUGGUGGAAGAAUUACAUAGGCAGUGUAUUUUGAUUAAUCUAGCUGCUACCUCCCUCUCUACCCCCUUCACACGACAAUGUAUGCAACAACUUGGCAUCAAUGAAGUUCAGACCGUCUCCUUGCCUGCCGUAGUUACAGUCAAAAAAAAUUUGCGACCAUACGCAAAGUUGUACUGCUUGCUCAUUGGCCACAACUACACUUUGACCUUAAAGGUGCACGAACAAUUCAAGGCCGGCCAUGGUGACGCACACAGCGUUCUUCCUCUCCACAAGUUGAGGCUUCCUGAGCCCAGAGCCUCUGGAACGCAGCAACUUGUGCGUCCAUAUGGGGCCCAGCCGAACCCAACCUGGUGCCUGUCCAGAAAAAGAAAAUGUGAGGCAGAGAUGACAUAGGCUGCUCCAUUUUCUGCAUACAUGGCCCAAAUUAUUGGCUCGAGUGGGGGAUGGCAUCGUAUCGUAUUUUCGAGGUGGAGUGCCCCCUACCAAUUCAUUCUCUGUUGGGACCUCGCUCCCUCUUGUCCUCCCAUUUUUCUAUGUUUUUUUCGGAAAGAAAAGGCAUGCUCCCAUGAUUCCAUUUAUUUAUAUGUAUCACAAAUAUUUCUGGUAUCUUCAGAAAAGAGAAGAUAAAGGCACACUGGAUUGCUGUAAAGGAGUCGUGUUUUCAGAGAAAAUGGGUGUGCCGUGUUGCUUGCUGACAACACUACGGCAGAUAGGUAUGGUAGCGAAAAGAAAGUUGUUUGGUAAUCUGGUUGUAGAUGAAGGAUGUUAACAUAAAACCUGAUAAAAAAAUAGACUUCCAAUAAUUGUUGCGUCGAGCUUCGUUCCUGAUCAGUGAUCACUGAUGAAGCAAAUCGCUGCCCAUCCCAUUGGCAGGUAUAGUGUGAAGACACUUACUACACCAUUUUUAAACCGAGAGAGAGAGACAUGCGUAUCUGAACAUGUAUCAGAGAGUGAUCAUUUUGGCCGUUGCAUAUUGACUGACUGAUGCUGUCCAUGAUGCAUAUCUUGUGGCCAUACCUAACAGAAUUGCAUAUGCAAGCAUAUCUGAAGUCUGAACAGGUCUCCGACCAAAGAGAUCAGCCUGCGCAGAUGCAAAUCAUGCGUGCACUGCAUACAAAGUCAGUCAAAAGUUGGGGGUUCCUUGGAUCAACACGAAAUGCCUUCCUUCGUCCAGUGAGCAUCUCUGCAGCUGCACCAGCAUGCCUUGAUAGUUGAUACCCAAGGUGAUCCCCUUU
rnacentral:lncRNA from 1 species